CUCUGCAUGCGUUUUAGUAUAAUAAAGAGAAGAUAGAAGACUUACUUUGCGAACGAGCCACCAAAUCCUCGUCUUCUUCACCGGCGUCGAAGGUUGAGAGGGGUUUUGAGGCCGAAAUUGAUGAGCCUUGAGGCUGGGCUUUAAAUGAAGGCAUAAGGGGAACGCUUUGGUAGACCACCAUCCAUCGUUCAUGGUGGACUGAUGGUGGUUGAACGGCAGACCAAAUGGGGGCAAACAUUUUGGGUUUCCCCUUUUUCUUUCCUUUUUUGUUUUUUUGCUGCAAUGUUUAAUUGAUUUUAGGGUUAUAGAUUUUUUUUAGUUAAAAGGUGGCUGCAUUUGAAAAAGGGUAUAAAAAAGGGGUUUUAAAUUAUUUGUAAAAAGGAAGGCCCGCAUUUCAACUUGUUUAACAGGCCUGAUCUGCGCCUUUUAAGUUGAAAAUAGGGGAAUUUCACAUUGAGUCCUCCCCCUUUGUGCAAGCACUCAACCAUGCCUUAUUUAUUUCACUUCCUUUUUUUAAUUUGGCUUCAAAAUUUACGCAUGUUGGCAAUUCGGUCCGCGUCUAAGCACUACAUUAUGGACCUGGAUUAUUUCCAGUUUUAGUCCUUGUGCAUUUGCGCACCUUACACAGUGGUCCCCCAUGUUGGUUUCUUUAUUUUCAGAUUACCCCUUUUAUUUUAAAUUUAUUUUAAUUAGGCUUAUUAUCUAUUCAAUACUUAUUUCCAAAAGGAUUCAUUCAAUUUUUUUAUUUUUUAUUACUAUUUUUAUUUAUUUAUUUUUUUUCCUCUUUUUGCCGAGAUUGCUUUAUUGGUUUUGCCUUGUUGAAAAAUCAUUGUUUUGGAAUUUUCAUGUUAUAUUAUCCUAACAUUUUGUAUAAUAUUCCAUUUAAAGACUUUUAUAUAUAUGUAUAUAUAUACACGUAUAUUUUAAAAUCUAGAUUAUUUGUGUUUUCUACUGCACGUAUUAUUAUUAUUAUUAUCUUCAUGUUAUAUUUUAUCUUUUAUUAUUAUGCACCUCCUAUUUUGAUUUUUAUUUUAUUUUGAGCCACUUUAUUUGUUUUGUUGUUGCAAUUUGAUUAUUAAUAUUGUCAUCAUUACUAUCAUAGUAUUUUUAUUAUUAUUCCUUUUUAAUACUCUACCUAGAUUAUUAUCCAACAUUACUUUAACUAUUUGUUUGUUAUUUUUAUUUCUAAAUGUAAUAUUAUACGCACACCUAUUUAUCCUUAAAUUUUGUAUUACUUCAAGUUGUUUGAUUUAUUUAUUUAUAUAAUUUCGAUUUUUUUCUUUUUGUUCAUUAUUACAUAUAUUUCUUAAAUAUGAUUGUUUAUAAUCUCAUGUUUUCACCAAAUCUUACUAUCGCCAUUGUUAUAUUAUUUUAACCCUUCUUUGUUAUUUAUUUAUUUCUUUUUGAUGUUUUCAUAUUCAUUUUUUAUACAUAUUCCACUUUCUUUCAUUAUUAUUCUUAUGUAUAUCAUGGUUUAAUUAAUAUUAGAUUUAGUUGCUAAUUGCCCCGGCAUACUCAUUGUUUUAUUAUUAUAGAUAAGUCGUUAUGUUGUUUAUUCGUGUUAUCAUUCAAUUAUUAUUCCAAUCACAUCAUGAGCCAUGUUAAAGGUUCAUUCUUUACACUGAAACUCAAAUGAUAUGCAUAUUUUUAAACAUUGCAUACAUAUUUAUUUGAAUAUACAAAAAUAAAAUAAGGCAAUAUUCCGUUCUUGGAAAUUCGAGAAAAUCGUGUCCUAAUUUACUGGGUUUCGAUUUUUCUCAUUUAACUUAAAUAACGGCAUAUUCUUUUAAAUCAUAAUACGAGUUUUAAAUAAAAUGCUUACUCUCUGAGAUUUUAGGUGUUGUAUUCUAACUCACUGGAUGUGACAUCUUAUUACCUUGAGAUAAGGUUUUUUGCAAAUAAGGCAAUAUUUCGUGUUUGGAAAUUUCGAGAAAUCAUGCCCUACGUGUUGGGUUUCGAUUUAUCAUUUGACCGAAUAAACGGAUAUCCUUUUUAAAAUUUCAAUGCAUGAGAUUUGGAAAUCAUGAGAUGAUUUUGGGUAUCGAAGGUUGGAAAUGUCGUGUCCUACGUGUUGGAUGUGAUAUUUUACUCCUUCGAAAUAAGAGAAUCUUAAUAUCCACUUCAAGUUAGCUAAACAUUCAUAAAAAGGGAUCGUAUUUCAAAAUUUAUUUUAAAGCUUUUCAAUUUUCGAUAUUAAGACAUUAAUUAAUCAAUUAGGUACCAAUUUUGGGCGUUAUGAGGGCGCUAAUCCUUCCUCGUACGUAACCGACUCCCGAACCCGUUUUCUCAAAUUUCAUAAACCAAAAUAUCGUUUUAGUAAACUAAAAUGUUUUAUUAAAACAAGGGUGAUCCGAUCACGCCCAAUAAAGAUCGGUGGCGACUCCCGUUUUAAUUUUCACUUUCAAACCAAAGUCGAUCCCCGUUUUUUAAAAUAAUGUAUCUUACAACACAACGGAACAUUCGAUACUCUCUUGGUUCCACAUGUCUGAAGAGAAAACGCUCCUCUGGUGUUACCUUGCUGAUUGGAAGUUUCUUAAUGGAGACAAAGACUAGAACUGAAUGGAUGGAAGGAAUGCUGGAAAUGAAAUGAGAGAAGAUGGGAGGUAUGCCUUGAACCAACUCUGAGUACAAAAGACCAAUUCCUGGUGCCCGGUUUAUCCUUGGAUCUUCUCCCAGUUGCUUAAUGUAUUCCUUUGAAACCUUAUUGUUGAUCUCAAAUUCGUAUUUUUUUUGGUGCACGUAGUGCCAUAUUCCCAUGAUUGUCAUUAGGAUAAGUGAGAAGACCAGUGGAAGGUAGCCACCUUCAAAGAAUUUAUACAAGACUGAUGAGAGAUAUAUGGUCUCUAUAGUGCCGAAGAACACACAGAAGAGAGCAAUCCAUAAUAUGUUUGUCUUCCAUAUAACAAGCAUGAUAAGAGUAACCAUACAUGUUGUGAUUACCAUUACAGUUACAAUAGCAAUUCCUGUAAACCCAAGAGAAAUGAAGUGUUAUCCUUGAUAUUAAUUUCAGUUAACUACAAUUCAUAUACACAAAUAAACUUCAAAAUAAAAUUUUAAGUUUUGCAUUUCAAAUUUGUUGAAAUUUGGGUUACGAGCUUAAUUACCAUAGGCAUGACCAAUAUUUUCUGUGGUUCUGAACCCAAUAGUGACUGCAACACAAGCAAUCAUGAGCAUGUAGUUGAUUUCUGGUAUAUAAACCUGCCCCUCAUACUCAGUGGAGGUAUGGACCACCUUAACUCUUGGAAAACAUCCCAGUGUUAACGACUGAGAGAUAAUUGAAAAUGCUCCUGAUAUCAUAGCUUGGCUUGCAAUAAUGGAAGCAGCUACAGCUACCACAAAUGUUGGCCAAUAGAGUGGAUCUACAUAAUAUCCAAAUAAAAUACAUUAUUCAUCACAAAACUUGUUUUCGAAGCAUCCAUUUUCAUACUCGUCUUAACAAAAGAUGUUUACCUGGAAUAGAUUUGUAGAAAGUGUCCCCAACGUGUUCAGGGUGUUUUGUGAGGUAGGCAGCUUGGCCACAAUAUACAAUAAGUAAAGAAGGCAAGGUAAUAGUGGAGAAGCUAAUCUGCAGAUCCAUGCACAAACAAACAACUGUUGAAUAAUAUAUAUGUACAACAGUUUCCUAUCAAACCAUCCUAUUUUCCACUGGUUGCAUGAACUCGAACACUGAAGUGACCCAGAUCAGCAAACAUAGCCUCGGUUCCUAUUUUCAAAUGUCCAUACAAUUUAUACAUAAAAAGGAAGAGUAUCAAAAUAACAAAAAGAUAUAAAGUAAAAGCUGGAAGCACUCACCUGUAAUGCAAAGUACUACUUCUCCAAGUGAUAUCCACCCUUUCUUACCGCGUCUUUUGAAGUAACCCACUAUAUACAACGGAUUAAACGCUCGUAAUACGCCCCAACCAUGUGAGGAGGUUGUACGAACCAAUACCACUUAGCAAGGUAAACCACAGGCAUAUGAUUGGGGCAAAUGAAUAUCCCAAUUUGUUAGUUCCAAAUCGUUGAACGCAGAAUAGGAUAACCAGAAUUACCACAGAAAUUCCCACCACAGCGUCUGAAUAUUAUUCAAUCAUUUUACGUCAAUACGUGUAUUUAUGCAAAAAAUGGUUGAAGAAGUAAGAGUUAUACCUUGCCCGAAGGAAUCGAUGCCACCAACCGCAGAAAGAACUGUGGAAAAGAAAGAAUAUUAUAUUAAUGUAAAUGAGUUAUAAGUAAAAGGUUAAUAAACUCACUGUCUUGAUUGAAUCGAUGGUAGUGACAAAUUGUGAGCAGAUAUGUAGGGAAUACCUGAGAUAGAUGGGGUCAAAACCCCAUCACCUAUAACCAUUAAGGUCGCAAGGAUAGUGACCACGAAAAUAGCAAGUUUGGCUUUUAAACUGUUCUCCAUCUUUCCUCUAAUUUUAUAUGCUCGAUUCAACUGGCUGGAAGGAGUGUCCAACUGGUAGUUAGACAGCUCUCUAUCCUCUGGUUGUUGAUUCGGAAGUAAGCUCAAUUUCACAUGUCGGCACAACAGAGAAUACAGCGCAAACGUUCCACCUGAACAAUCAUAGAAAUUAACUAUGGUAGAUAGCGCUGACCACGUAGCUAGUUAGGAAUAACUCUAUUUAAUUUUACCUUCACCGUUGUCAUUGGCUCUCAAGACAAGGAAUGCAUACUUGAAAAAUGGGAUUAGAACUAUGGAGUAAAUGAUGAGGAAAAGAACCGCAAUAAGGUUAUCUUGGUGACCAAUACCGUCAGUGAAAGUACUGGCAUAUACAUAAAGUGGAGAUGUUCCAAUAUCUCCGUAUAUCACUCCAAUAGACUGAAAUGCUAAUUGUUGCGGAAGCGACGAUAAUAUUAAUAACAAUAUUAUCAGAAAUAUUUAGAUAAUUAUUAUGCCAACAAUUAUACUAAGAAAAUUCCCAGUUAAAUUGGAGGGGUCACAAUGGUCCCGCUUAAAACCCAACAACUAGACAGAACUCACUUAGAUAUUUAUAGCAAUAAUAACUAAAUAAAUAUAACCAACAUAAAGCUAUUAAAUAAAAGCAAACAAAUAAGAAAUAAAAUACCAGAGAUUUAACGAGGUUCGGCCAAUUUAGCUUACGUCCUCGGACACUACCAAAUCAAUAUUUCCUCUAGAAAUAUUACAAAGGAGAAGAUUUUGGGAUGAUACAACCAAAGGGGGAAGGGUUCUAUAUAUAACAAACCAAACCCCCUCCAUUUCUAUCUUUUCCUAAUGUGGGAUAUUGCCAAUAUUCAACAAAUCUCCACCUUGGCAAUAUUCCACAUCUUCGAACAUCUUCUCAUAACACAAACUUCAAUAGUGUCUUCAAAUUUGCAACCAAUCGCCUUCUUCCCUUUUGGUAGUUGUGCCAGCUUCCACGUCUUGUUUUUCUCUAGAGAUUGCAUUUCCUCUUCCAUUGCACCUAACCAUCUAUUAUUCUCUAAACUCUGAAUGGCUUCGGUGUAAGUGGAUGGAAUAUUAUCAACAACUGGAAGUGCAUAAGCUACCAUGUCAGUGAAACGAGCAGGUUUCUGAAUUUCUCGUCUCUGCCUUCUGACUGCAAUUGGCUCUGAUUGCUGUUGAGGUUCUUGGGUAGAAACCUCUUCCUCAUCUGACUCUGCAUCUGCCAAUGAAGAAUCACUAGUGGUACCUUUUGCUGGAAUUACCACACUCUGCUCAAACUCCACCUGCUGCGGAGUACACUCCACCUGCUGCGAAGUACUACUCACUCCUUCUGGAUUUACCUUAUUCAACAUGGCAGAUUCAUGAAAGGUAACAUCCCUACUGAUUAUCGUCUUCUUUGCCUCUAGACACCACAAACGAUAUCCCUUAACACCAGCAUUGAAGCCCAUGAAUAGAGCCUUCUUUGCUCUUGGAUCUAACUUUGAUUCUUUCACAUGAUAAUAUGCAAUAGAACCAAAAAUGCGCAAGGUGUCAUAAUCAGUAGCAGGUUUUCCAUACCAUUUCUCCAAAGGAGUCUUGCCAUUUAUAGCAGAUGAUGGCAAAUGAUUGAUGAGAUGUUGAGCGUACGUCACAGCCUCAGUCCAAAACUUUCUAUCUAAUCCAGCAUUAGAUAACAUACAUCGAACUUUCUCCACAAGCGUUCGAUUCAUACGCUCUGCCACCCCAUUCUGUUGCGGUGUUCCACCUACGGUGAAGUGCCUUACUAUGCCACAAUCUUGGCAUAUCUUCAGGAAAGGAUCGCUUUUAUAUUCUCCACCGUUGUCUGAUCGGAGAACCUUAAUCUUCCUUCCUGUCUGAUUUUCAACUUUAGUUUUCCACUUAAGGAAAACUUCAAGCACCUCAUCUUUGUUCUUCAUAGGAAACACCCAAACUCGUCUGGAAAAAUCAUCAAUAAAGGUGACAAAAUAACGUCUUCCUCCAAGUGAUGGAGUCUUGGACGGUCCCCAUACAUCAGAAUGCACAUAAUCCAGAAUACCUUUAGUAUUGUGAAUCCCAGUGCCAAAUUUCACCCUUCGUUGUUUUCCCAGAACACAAUGCUCGCAAAAUUCAAGUUUGCAAGUCUUUGUACCUUUCAAUAAUCCUUGCUUGGCUAGAGUUUGCAAGGAUUUUUCACCAGCAUGGCCCAAACGCAUAUGCCACAGCUGUGUUGCCUCAGCGUCCUUCUUGGUACUCGUAAUUGCUGCUGCUGUUGUCCCGACCACUGUACUACCUUGGUAGUAAUACAGAUUGUUCUUUCUUAUGCCUUUCAACAUCACCAAUGCUCCUGAAGUUGCUUUAAGAACUCCAUCUCGUAUUGUCACAACUAGGCCUUUAGAUUCUAACGACCCCAAAGAGAUGAGAUUCUUCUUCAACUUUGGGACAUAUCGUACAUCCCGCAAAAUUCUAGUAGAUCCAUCAUGACUCCUCAGUUUAAUUGAACCUAUCCCGGCUAUUUUACAUGUGUUAUCAUUACCCAUGUAAACAACCCCUUCAUCUAGUUUUUGAAAUUCAAAGAACCAUUCCCGAAUGGGACACAUAUGAUAGGAACAACCAGAAUCCAUGAUCCACUCAUCUGCAUAUAAUGUUGAAGAUGUCAUACUAAGAGAAAAGUCUGACUCUGCUUCACUAUUGCAUUCUGCAACAUUUGCAUCUUGCGGAGUCUUCCCUUUUUUCUUCAAUUUUGGACAAUCUUUCUUCCAAUGUCCUUUUUCUUUGCAAAAAAAACAUUCAUCUUUGGCAACAGCUCGACCUUUGGACUUUCUUCUCUUCCCCUUAGACUGACUUUGCUGACGACCUCUUGUUACCAAUGCUUCCACUGCUGCUUCACCUGAACCUUUCAACUUAUCCUUUCGGCGUAGUUCAUAGCUAUACAAUGCAGCAGUUACUUCAUUGAAAGUUACUUCCGAUUUUCCAUGAAGUAGAGUAGUUUCAAGGUACUCAAACUCCUCAGGAAGCGAUCCCAACAACAUUAACGCCAAGUCUUCGUCUUCAAAAGUCACAUCCAAAUUCAACAAAUCAGCCACCAGCUGAUUAAAAUUGGUAAUGUGCUCGUUCAUCGUGGUACCAGGAACAUAACUGAAACGAAACAGUCUUUUCUUCAUAUGUAACUUAUUUUGACUGUUCUUCUUCAGAAAUUUCUCCUCCAAUGCUUUCCACAAUUUACUUGCAGAAGUCUCUUUACUGAAUGUAUACUUCUGCUCUCUGGAAAGACAUGAUCGAAUUGUACCACAUGCCAAUCGGUUGAUGGUCUUCCAUUCUUUAUCAUCAACCCCUUCUGGUUUUUCUUCCUCAAUGGCAAUAUCUAGACCCUGUUGAAAGAGGGCAUCUAGAAGCUCACUUUGCCACAUGCCGAAAUGACCUGUUCCAUCAAAAAUUUCCACUGCAAAUCUCGUAUUUGCAGUUCCAAUCCUCGGCAAAAUGUACGAAGUGGAAGUUGUUGAUAUGGAUGGUUUUUCUUCUGUCAUUUUUGCCAUAGCUUCUACUUAAUAGCCACCAAAUGCAGAAUACCCACAAGCUUUCGGAAAUGUUUCUGAUGUGUAAGAUCAGACUAAGCUGCAAACACAGAGCAUACUACAAAACCUUGGCUCGGAUACCAAUUGUUGCGGAAGCGACGAUAAUAUUAAUAACAAUAUUAUCAGAAAUAUUUAGAUAAUUAUUAUGCCAACAAUUAUACUAAGAAAAUUCCCAGUUAAAUUGGAGGGGUCACAAUGGUCCCGCUUAAAACCCAACAACUAGACAGAACUCACUUAGAUAUUUAUAGCAAUAAUAACUAAAUAAAUAUAACCAACAUAAAGCUAUUAAAUAAAAGCAAACAAAUAAGAAAUAAAAUACCAGAGAUUUAACGAGGUUCGGCCAAUUUAGCUUACGUCCUCGGACACUACCAAAUCAAUAUUUCCUCUAGAAAUAUUACAAAGGAGAAGAUUUUGGGAUGAUACAACCAAAGGGGGAAGGGUUCUAUAUAUAACAAACCAAACCCCCUCCAUUUCUAUCUUUUCCUAAUGUGGGAUAUUGCCAAUAUUCAACACUAAACUCAACGUCCUCAUCCAAUCCACCUGUACAAAAUUACAUAAAGUAAACAAAAGCUUGUAGGUUUAGGCAAUAAAUAAAUGAGUGUAGUCCGGAGCGACAACCUUGGAAUGGGGGGACUUGGUUGAAGAAAAUGAAAGUGUGCCUGCCUCCAAAUUGAGAGAAUCCACACGGCACAGCUUGGCCCGCGAUAACUUUCGUUCUUUUAGUCGGUUUUUAUCAGCUUCUGCUGCUGCCAUCUCUUUCUCCUCACCUUUCUCCACAUUCUCGGCCAUACCUGCUUUGUUCUCUUCCAUAAGUUGCAAUGACGGUGAGAAAUGAAGUGAAAGGUUGGCAAUUUAUUUAUAGGCAUUUAGUUCAAAAGAUCUGGAUUUAUGAUUUGAUUUAUGAAUGAAUGGCAUAAUGCAACAUGUGAACAGCAUUAAAAAAAUUAUUUUUAUUUAUUUUUAAUAAUUCACUUCUGUAAAAGAAUUUAUUUACAAAUAGGAAUGUUCAUUUAAAGAAUAAACUUAAAUGGGGAUUUUAAUUUCUAUUUAUACCUUGAUGUCCAUCUUGGCAUAGAAGUUAAUUUGGAGUUUUUCUCUUUAGCAUUUCUUUUUUGGAAUAUUUUAUUAUUUUAACAUUAAAUAAUUAAAUAACAAAUUAUUUUGGUUAAAAAAAAAAGAGAAAAACUACCCUCUAAUAGUGCAAUAAGAUAAUAUAAAAUAAGUUGAUACUAUCUUUUAAAUUUACAUAAUGUAAACCUACGCUACAAAAUAAUUUACUUAUAUCAAUGUAAAAUUAAUAUGAUUUUACUAUUAAUGUUUUACAUCAACUGAAUUUAUCAUAAACUACUUAAAUAUUAAUCAUAUAUAAAAUUACAUAGAUAUAAAUAGAUUUCUUUUCAAACAUUUUUCUUAGAGAAAAUUAGUAAAACUCAAUAAUAUAUUCCUGAUGUAUGCUAAGUCUAAAAUAAAGUAUCAUAAAUUAAUGUCACACUAUUUUCUUUUUUCCUUCUCUUUCCAAAUAAAUGUACAACGUUAGACAUAUUAUUUUAAUAAAUUAGUGUUGGAAGUGGUGAUCCUACAUAUGUCCUACGUUGUACCAGUUAAGUGCUCCCGCCCCUCCUCAGCCCCUCUUUAGCUAGUAUAUGGGCUAACUACCAUCUACCUCAGGUAUAAUUCUUCCUUCUUCAACCAUUUUUUGCCUGCAUAAAUACACGUAUUGACGUAAAAAUGGUUGAAUAAUAUUCAAACGUUGUGGCGUGAAUUUUUGUAGUAAUUCUGGUCAUCAUGUUCUGCAUUCAACGAUUUGGAACUGACAAAUUGGGAUAUUCACUUGCAUCAAUCAUAUGCCUGUGGUUUACCUUGCUAAGUGGUAUUGGUUUGUACAACCUCUUCACAUAUGGUUGGGGUGUCUUACGUGCGUUUAAUCCGUUGCAUAUAGUGGACUACUUCAAAAGACGCGGUAAGAACUGGUGGAUAUCACUUGGAGAAGUAGUACUUUGCAUUACCAGUGAGUGCUUCUAGCUUUUACUUUAUAUCUUUUUGUUAUUUUAAUACCCUUCCCUGUUAUGUCUAAAUUGUAUGGACAUUUGACAAUAGAAACCGAGGCUAUAUUUGUUGAUUUGGGUCACUUCAGUGUUCGAGCAGUUCAAGUAAAUUAUUUACUUCAUGCAACCAGUGGAAAAUAGGAUGGUUUAAUAGGAAACUGUUGUACAUAUAUAUUAUUCGACAUUUGUGUGUUUGUGCAUGAACAUCUUUACCUGACUCUUCAUUACCAUUUUUAUGGCACCUUAUUUCAUUUUCUCAGCGAUCAAAAGUUUGCAUUUGCAGCAUCUUAUUUUUUUUCUUAAUAUAUAUUAUAAAUUUCUAUAUUUUUUGUAAUUUUUUUUUAUUUUUAGGAUUUUAGUCUUUUUAUAUUUUAGAUUUUAAAAUUCAAGUUUAAAUAUUAACACUGUUAAAAUUAUUUUAUCAAAUUCAGAUUUAUUAUAAAAUUAUUUUUUAAUUACAUGAUUAGUAAGUGAGUAUUUUUUUUUACUUUAAAAUGCGGCAUUAACAGAUUUAACAAAAAAAAACAGUGUUAAUAACUAAAUUUAAAAUGACUAAAUUUUUAAAAAUAAAAAUACAAAGGCUAAAUGUCAAAUUUAUGAAGAAUAUAAAGACUUAUCGUAUAAUUUUGCCCUUCAUUUUUCAAAUUUGGGAAAGACUCAGAGGCUUACACCAUCUCGAUACAGAAAAUGAUAAUAAUUUAGUUCAAUUGUUAUUCACGCCAAACUCAAUUAUUAUUGUUUUUUCUAGUCAUUUUUUAUUUACUGGGUGGAAGUAUCGUAUACACUUUCCAACAGUAGAAGUGUACAGGUGAGUACUUUAAGCUUUUACUUCAUAUCUUUUUGUUAUUUUGAUACCCUUCCCUUUUAUGUCUAAAUUGUAUGGACAUUUAACAGUACUGAUGCCUAUUUUAUCCAGCAUAUGCCAAUAAAUUUGUGAAUGUGAUCAAAGUCCAAGUGAAGAUAGUAGUCUUAGCAGGCUUUACAAUUAGUCACUGUCAUCAUCAAAUUACAAUCUCCAUAUUAUCCAUGGAUAUGUGUGAUUUAUAAUCGUUUUACAGUAAAAUAUUUACGGAAGAUGUAAUAUGUAGUGGCCAUUGCCUUGAUGCUCUAGUUGAGCUUAUUAGGCUCGAAGCACUCAGUUUAGCAAGGAAGAUUUGCUGUGGAGAGGAUAGAAAGUUGGCACAAACAUCAUUCUUUUUUUUACAAAUCACGGUCUAUAUUGUCUGCACCAAAGAAUAAAAAAGUAUGGGUUUAGUUUAACAUUAAUUUUAUCAAAGUAAUUGUCUCAAGAUAUUUGAAACAUCUCCAUCCAUUUCACUUGUUCAACUAAAUCUUGUUUCUGAGAAUUCUACAAAUGCUGCACCAGAUGUUCACAACUGAUUUUAGCAUUGGAAAAUGAGGGUGAUUGCUUUAAAACUGGAAGUUGGCACCAAUUUAACUUGCAUCUCAAUGAUUCACUUUGCGGUCAAAAUUCAAUACAAGGACACCAACACUAGCAGGAAACUUCAACAGGUCAUUUGAGAUUCUUCGGAAUAUAAUAGUUCAGAAAUUUCUACAUUUCUUCUUGACCAACCAAAUAAAUAUUGUUUUCAAGAGAGCUCAACUAUCCUUGUCCGCUUCUUUGAUCGACUUUUUCCUGUUGCUUCACAGACAGCAUCCUCGUUGACUGUGUUGGAUUUUUCAUUUUCCGUUGGACAAGAUGUUUCCUCAUCAUCAUUACCAUCAUCAUAGCUUUCCUCAUCACUGCUAUCAUCUGAUUCCGUUUCGCUACUACUACUGUUGCCAGCUACCAUAAUUGGUGGCUGAUUGCUAGCAAUUGCAGAUUCAGCAGCAGCCAGAGCUUGAGGUGUGUGAAGAUCAGCUACACCUAACAUCAAAUCCUGUAUUACAAAAUGCAACCAAAACAUAUUAACAAACUCAUAUACUAUUCGAUGAGCACAAUUCAAGAGGUUCAAUUUUAAUGUUACCAUUUCAAUGACUUCAGAAUCAUUCCCAUUGAGUACUUCAAUAUCAUAUGCUUGAGAAUUACUCUACAUUAUGAUAAACAAGAAUAUAGGUUAGAAAUUAAAAAGUGUGUUUACUGAUGACAAAUUUGACAAAAAAAAAAAAAAACCUUUGCAUCAAGCUCCAGCCUUUUAUUAGCUUCUGCCAUGACUCCCAAGAAAUCUUUCACUUUCCCCAAAACUGCAAUACUCAAAAGAAGAUUUCAGCACAAAACAGAAGCUUCCACAUUCUAAUGCCCAUGAAACACGUAAUCAUCUCUAAACAAGCUGGACCUCUCAUAAUUCUGCCUACAAGUCAAAGUUUUUUUUUAACAGUCCUCAAGUCUGAAACAAUGAUCAUUAUUCCAUUCCCAAAUCACAUGCUAUCAGUUUCAGAUUCUUUAAAAGCUGUAUAUAUGUUUAGCAUAAAUAAUGGUACAAAAUAACUACUUCAAAAAAGAAAGAUGGAAGAAAGCUUACCUUGGCUUUUAGGAAAAGGAGUGAAGGGGGGUUUCUUGGAAGGAUCAGGUUCAUGAGUUUGAGGCUCCGAGUCCUUUUUCUUACAAACAAGUAGAGCGCAUUCUGUUGAACAUGUAAAACCGUCAAACACACACACACACAGAUAAUGAAAUUUCAAUGGAUAGAAAACAAAGUUAGCAUAAAAUUAGAUAGGAGCUUAGUUACCUAAGGGUGAAGAAGAGGAUUUAUUGUGUUCAAACCGUAGAAGAUCUUUGCUUGAGCUUCCCAUCUGUAUAUUUAGUUGAGAAACAAGCGGUUCCUUGUUCAGUCGGCAGCCUAUAGGGUUUAUGUAAACUAGAGUUUGAGCUUUUGUUACUUUUUGUUCUGUUUUAACAUGAUUUGGGAAGUAUUAUGGGCUUUAUCCACUUUUAUUAAAUGGACCAGCCCUUGUUUUUAAUAUUGAAAGCCUUUUUCAGGUUGGGCUUAAACUCAUGUAGUGUGAGGCUCCUUUUACUCGGUUUUAAUAACUUUAAUUUCUAUUUUAGUCAUUAAUAUAUGAAUUUUUUUCAAUUUGAUCACAAAACUAUCCAAAUUUGUUUUUACUGUUCAGUUUGAAACAACUAAAUGAUGUUAUAAACUAAACAAAUGGCCACUCAAUUAUGAGAAUGUUUAUCCAACUAUAAUUUUUUUUUGAUUUAGUCAUCAUGCGGCUAAGUUAAUAAAUAAAGUUUGAUGUGAUAUUUUUUAUUGGUCUAAUAAUAAUUUUAGCUCUUCAAUAUUUAUAUUUUCUAUCAAUUUAGUCUUAAUUCUAAAAAUCAAUAAAUUUAGUCUUCAAUAUUUACCAAAUUUAUCAAUUUAAUCCUAAUUAUUGCCUUUUUUUUCUCUCUCUCUACCUAUUCUUUUAUUCUCUUAGCCAAUGUUAUUCAAUGCAAGAAAUUUUAAAAGUUUCAAAUCUCCUAUACCAAAAAGAUCAUAAGUGGUCGAUAAUUUUUUUUUAACACUUUAGACUAAACGAUGCUUAUCCAACACUAAAAAAUUCAAAGAUUUUUAAUUUUCGACAGUAAAAGAUCAUAAAUUGUUGGAAAGUUCUUUUUUAUAUAUUUUUUUAUGUUAAAAUAGUGAUUCUCUAAUGCUCAAAAACUAUGGUGGUCUGUUCACACCAUUCUAAUGCUAAAUCGAAACAACCAUCACCUUUUUUUGUGCCAAUAAAAAUUCUAGUCCGUACUAGUUGCACUAACUUCUUUCGAUCAAGUCUGAUCGCACUAGCCAAAACAUGGUCCACCAGCCGAUGCAUAAAUAAUAUAAAAAUUAUUUUUUUAAUUUUUUAUUAUUAUGUUAAAGAUUUAAUUGGGAUGUGACAGAUCAAAAAGGACUUUACCAAUAUGUAAAAGUUUAAAAAAGUUUUUAUGGACAUACUUUCAUAUUUAAAAUAUAAUAAUAAUAAACUCACUCACCUGAUAUAAAAAAAAAAAUCUCCACUCGCCAUUCAAAUUCUUUCAUAAAUGGAGAGAAGUUAAAUCCCUAAAAAUUGAUGAUGGGUUUUUAUUAUUAAUUUUGGAUUUAUAUAAAUGAUAUAAUUUUAUUUUUUGAGUUGUGAGUCAUUUAUAUAAUUGAUGAAUAUUUUAUAUUUAAAAUUUAUUUAGUAUCAUCCAUUUGAUAUUUGUAAAUAUAUUUAUAUACAUAUAUUAAAUAUUUUUUUUAAAAAUAUUGAUAAAUUCGAAAUGAUACACCAAAACAAACUAGUACCAUACAUAUCAAUUCCAAUUGAAAAUCAGUGUGUCCGCUAAUGAGGUACUGACUACCUUAUCAAAAAGCCAAAUAUUACUAUUAUAAAAAAUCAUUAAAAAAACUUGUAAGAAAUUAUUAUCAAAUACUAGUAAUGUAUAGGACUAAGUUUAUUUAUUUCUUUAGAGUUCAUAUUAAACUAAUACAACAUAUAAGUAUUGAAUGGCAAAAUUUGUUAUUAGGUCAAUAAAAAAAAUCACGUCAAACUUCUAUUAUCAACUUAACAGAAUGGUAACUAAAAAAAUCUAAUUUCGAAAGCUUUAGUGACAUCGAAAAAAUUUUAUAGUUGAGUAACCAAAACAAAAACAUUUUCAUAGUUAGGUGAUCAUUCAUGUAAUAAUCACAUCGUCCAACCAUUUCAGACUUAAUGACAUAAUGACUAAAAAACCGAAUUCGGAUAAUUUAGUGAUCAAAUUGAAAAUUUUCAUAAUUCGGUUACAAAAAUAGAAACACAAGAAAAAUUCAGUGACUAAUUAAGUAGUUUACCUAGUAAAAUAUCAUGGUGUUGAUAUGCCUGCGAAGGGCGAAAAAGCCCAAGAAUUUGCAUUUUAUCCGUUGCUGAAUGCAUAAGAAAAGGCCGAAUGUUGAAUUAAGAUAAUUGUUCAUCGACAUUUUACCAUUUAAAUGAUUUGUUGCAUUUACUGCAGGGAAUCUGGCUAGAAACUUGACCAAUAUAUUGAACAUUGUCAUCCCAGUGGAGACAGCUAAUGCAUAAAAAGUUCCAAUACCUUACUUUCAUCUACUGAUAAAGAUGAUGUUAAGCAACGAAGCCCUAGGCUUGGAGGCUAAAAGUUUCUAUACAUGCUAAUAGUUCAUUAGAGCAUAAGUAUUAUGAAAGAAAAAUCUGCAACAAUUAAAGCCAAUGAACCGAUUUGAAAACUAUCUAUUACAUUUUGUAUUAGUACUUGGGAAGGAAGCAUUCCUUGGGAAGAUUAUUUUGGAAUCUUUGGUUAUCUUGGCAAUAAUCAUAAACCAUGUGGUAGUUCCUCACCCAUUUGAACCAUCUCUUCUGUACCCUGGUUAGAGUGCUAAAACUGCGUUUGUUCCACCAGUUGGCUGAGCUAUCCGCCCUACAAAACCUUGGAUUUCCUUUCCAAACACAGGCAUCAAUGGUGUAAUUCUUGAAUGAAGCUAUGAAAGGACUCUUUGACCAAUCAAUUUUGUCUAAUCCCCCGCGUGUCGCCCAGCUGUCCCCAUUCCAUAGGCUGGUUUUUAUGCUCAUUGGCUGCCACCUAGGAUAUGCCACUCCCUUUUCUGCAUGGUUUCUAUAUAAUCUAAUAGGAAUUGAAUCUAUCAUAAACCUGAAAUAAAGAUGAAAAUAAUAUCAUCGGUGAUGAUUGAUGAAACAAAGUACACAAAUAUGUGUUAUCUUCUAAAGGACAACCAACUUACACAAUUUGAUGAAGAUUCCAUAGUAUGGAAUAUGUAUGGAAGUCCUCUGUUGGAUCAAACCAUAAAUAAAUCCUCUCUUCACGGUUGUCGAAACCAUCAACAUAGAUAUUUGUUUGCACUAUAUAUGGCUGGCCACUCACAUUGCCAAGAAACUCAAAAUCUAUCUCAUCUCGAUUAGGUUGAUCCGAUGCCAACUGCAAUGUCAAAGCAAUUUGGUUUAUCGAAUUACACAAUGAAUUAGAAACACUGAAAUGAAGGGGAAAUUGCUUACAUAGUAGGCCAACACUGUCCCUGCUGAGUUCCCUGGCACUAGUUUAAUUUGCAUGUCCAUUUGACCAAAUAAGAACAUUUGGUUUGAUGCAAAACCAGAUCCUGUAUCAAUUACAACAAAUGUAUAAGUAUAUGAAACCAAAGAGAAAAAAAAAAAAGGAAAGAAUAGGAAGUUGUCUCUUGUUGCCAUCAUACCAGAUACUUGAUCAAGUUUCAGGCUUCUUUCCCUGCCAUUAGAUGAAGUGCUUACAUGAUCAGGAGCCCACAUCACGAAGAAGUCUUUGUUGAAAUCUCCGGUGGAAACAACCGAAGCUACUGAAACUCGAAAGAGAUUCAAGAUAAGAAGGCUGAUAACUAAGGCCCUGCAUUUCAAACAGUUCUUCAUGGCUCUAUUGACCCAAGGCUACAAUAUGGAAAGAUAGGUUGUUCAAUUGUAUAUAUAUAUAUAUUGCAUGGGAUUAUACAACAAAAGUAUAAACAGGGAGGCAAUGUUUGGUGGAAUAUCUUUAGGAGGAAGCAAAGAGGAAUGUGAGGCUAUUAGAAUGCUGCAAGAUGAGUUCUUAAAGGGAUUGUUGUUCAAAUUUCUAUUAGAAUGUGCUGUAAGCAGUGUAAAAAUUAACUUUUCUUUUUAGGGACUCAAUAAAUUACUUGUAUACCAAGGUUUAUCCAUAUUCUCUAAGACCUCCAAUUAACCUGUUUUUCCCCCCCUAUUGGUGAAUCAUUGGAUAUAAACUAGAGCAUUGCGGUCAUUUAGGUAAAAGUAGUAAGCUUUGGGAAAACCCUCAGGCCUUCUUAACAAGAACCUUUUCAGCUGUUUUUUCCUGAGCAGAAGACAGUUUAGGAAGAUAAAGAAACUGACAAAGAAAUUUGCUUUCUUUCUCCUGGGUUUUUCUAUUUCAAAUAACUUUGUCUUUCAAGAUACCUUUUUUUUUUUUUAGCACACAUGCAAAGACUUUUGACUUUGGAGUUUAUUCCUUACCUCCUUUUGUUGGGUGUAUAUGGUUUAAUUAUUCCUGUGGAUUAUCUUCAAAGCAAAUUUAACCAAAGCAGAACAUAAGAAAAAUCAUUAAUAUUACUACGAGCUGAUUGAUCCAGUAAGCUUUUUUGUUAUUGUUGUUGUUAAUAUUGUCUUUGAGAAGAUUUGGCAUCAUAAAUUUCAAAUGCUUUAUUUGUUGGCUAACUCAAGUGUUCCUUAAACCCGACUUCAAAUGAUGGCAUGUUUACAAUAAAUCACCCAAUUACCACACCCACUUUUCACAUCUUCCAGGGCAGAAGAAAGUAGCAGAUGAAUUCCAAUCAAGUAAUUAAAGUGGCCAUUACCGCCUCAGCCACCUCAAGGCGAGGUGACUUCAGUCAGACGAGCGCUUUAUGUGCUUUUCAGGUGCCUUUUUUGCAAAGUCGGGCGCAAAAAAUGCGCAUUUCACUAUGGAGCCAUUCCAUUAUCUUAUUUAUUUUUUUUAUUUUAACUUUUAAAAGAAAAAUAUAACAAAAUAUAACAAAUGACCUUUUUAAUUAAUUAUUCACAAAAUUUUAUUAUAUAAAAACCUAGUUAACUCUUAAAAGUUAAGAAUUUUGGGGAGAAGAUGAAGGAAAUUUAAAGCUAGAUUCUAAUGCUGAUAUUUAAUUUCGUUAUUAUUGUGUUUUAUUUUACAAUACAUUAACUAAAUUAUUAAAUUUAAACUACUGAAGAAGGUUUUAAAUUUAUAUAUUGAAUUAUAUUUGUUGAGUAAUAUUUUUUUAUGUUGGUAUUAAUGGAAAUACAGGGAUAUUUAUACACAAUCUCUAUUGCUACUAUUACAGCUCACAAUGAGACCCACUGUUUUGUCAUGACAUUUGGGCCAAGAGUACUAACAUUCUUUGUCCCACGUGCUUACAUUCUUUGGGCCUCUUUUGGUUUUUAGACGCUUGCCUGUGGAGCACUCUGUCCUUUCUGACCCUAGGAUUGACUCUCCCAACAAACUUUACACCUGCCAGUCACGAAGGGAGGUCUUUUUUGCAGAAAUGGCUCGCGACCUCGUUUCUGCGAGGUUUACGCGAGCUCCCUCUUGCGACCUUGUUUGUGCGAAGCUUACGUAAGCUAUCUUUGUGAACAUCUUGCAUUCCUGUAAGAUCCUCAGCUGACUAUGCCUGGAGGCAAACAUUCAUCUUCUGGGUUGAAGGUCCAGAUCCUAUCAGCCAUUUGGACUAUCGGUUCUCAAAUCCUAACAAUAUUAUAAUUUAUAUUUCUUUUACUAAUUAAUUAAUACUUAUUAACUAUAUAUAUCACUUACAUAUGUUUUUAUAUGCAUAUUACAUUUAUAUUUAUAUUUAUAUACUUGUGGCUAGAUUCACUCGGACGAUUGCUUUUUUUUGCACCUUGCGCCUCAAGCUAUAUAGAUGUUUUAGUUCUUAAAAGCCUUUGACAACAUUAAUGUAUACAUAAAACUUUAAUCUUAAUUUAAUUGUACACAUUUACAGAAAUGAAUAAGUACAUUAUUUCUCAUAUUGAAUUAAUAUAAUUAUUUGUAUAUAUCGACGUAAAAUUGUGUUAAUUCAAUAAUGUUAGUGAUUUCUGAAAAUUAAAUAAAAAAAUUUGAACAAAAGUAAAGUUCACAUAUGAUAUUGCACAUUGAAUCAAAGUAUGUAUAGUUUUGAUGUUUAUUCCUAUUAAAAAUUAUAAUAUUUGAGAUUAAUUUUUAAUUUUUUUAAAAAAUUAAAAUUAAAAUUUUAAUAUCAAUAUAAUCAUUGAUUUUAUUUAAACUAAUUUUUAUAUACAAAUUGAGUUACUCUAUUUUCGAAAAAUUAUUUGUGUUUUCUAAUAUGAAAACUUAUUUCCCAGAAAAAAAAAAGGACUUAUCUUUAAUUUACCGUAUAUUUUUUUCUAUUGACUAAACUAUUUUUCACCUAAUACAAAAAAUAUAAACAACAUUUUCUAUAAAUUAUUUUCCUUUAAACAAAAACACCCUAAAAUUGAUAACGGAUUGAAUAACACGAUGAAGCCAAAUAAGCAAACUGAAUAAUCCAAAAACUAAACAAAUGGACUUGGUUCCAUAAAAUUGAUUCCAUUUAUUCAAUUAAUUCUCUUUUUGGCUCACCCUUGCAUGGGGGAUUCAUCCCCAUGAUGGAAAAGUUGGACGAAAAAGGUAGCGGUCUCGGGCUUCCCUCGAAGGUGACAAUGAAAGCUUUUGUUGUGAACCACUGCCAACGAUUACAAUGGCUUCUGCGUCUAAGGAUCGCAUCGAGUUGUUUUUAUGUGCAUGAAAUUGUUGUAUAAUGUGAACCCGUUAAGUAACCAUUGUAACUGUCAACAAACACUAGAGGAUUGUUGCCGACUGCUAGUCUCUAGUAACAUGAAUAUAUGUCUCCUUACAAACCCUCAUUCAAUCCCUUUACACACCUAUGUCUGACGGCGAAAAAGAAGCUUAGAUAAUGGCUUGGUACUUCCAGAGUAAAUUCCCAAGCCUUUGAUUGUCGGUUGCAAUUUCUAAGAGAUACUUGCAUGUCAUGAAUUGAUCUAACAGCUGAAACCAGUAAAGACGUUAACUUGAAUGCCCAAUAUUCUGAUAAUGUAAUCUUUAUCAAAAUCUUACAGGUCAUUUGUUGAAGGAGAUCUAAUUGGUUAUUACAGUAUAAGGUGCAAUAUUCAAUCUCAAAGGAGUACCAUACAUGAGGAAAGCGAGGAAAGAAGCUCAUAGUUUUUAAAUUAGUGAGAUGGGUAUUUGCUCAAGUUAAUAUUAGAUCUAAAUUUUCAUCUCUUGCAAAGUACGAUAUUACAUAAGAAUGAAAGAGAAAAAGAUUAACCCAUCUUGGGAGUUGAUUUAUCAACCCAAAAAAGAAAAUUUUACAGCAACAAGAAACUAAAAGAAAAGGGAAAUACCAAAACCCAGAAACAAAAAAUUUAAUUUGGGAAACAUAUUUCAUGCCUCACUUCUUCCUCGCGCCUUCAAGUUAUGUUUAUGUUUAGGAUUUUUACUAUAAUAAUAUGAAAAAAAAAACCAAAAUGGCAUGUCCUUAAGAUUAUAUACGAAAAUGGGUCAUUGGAAGUAAUGGAGGGUGGUGCAUAGGCGGCACCACCCUCAAAUCUGACAGAUUUACAGUUAAAAAAAAAGAAAAAGAAAAAGACGAAAAAAAUAAUAAAAUAAGGGUGGAGGGUACCCCACAGGCGGCACUAGUGGUGCCUUUCUCACAGCCUUGACCCCCUUUAGUACAUAUUCACCCUACCCCCUUUAUUCGACUACCAGAUUGGAAAAAAAAUUACAGAAGAAGAAGAAAGAAAGAAAGAAAGGAGAAGAAGAAAGAAAAGAAAAAGGUAAUUUUGUUGUUGUUAUUUUUUUUAAAUAAAAUAGAUUAUGAUAAGAAAAAAAUAUUUUGUUAGUAUUAUAUAGUUUGUUUAGUGUUACUUUUAUGUUUUGUUUUAAAAUUUAUUUUGUUUAUUGUGAAAUGUUAGUGAGUUUUGUGUUUAGAUUAAUUAUGUGUUUAUUGUGAAUUUUAUGUUUUAAAUUUUUUAAAUAUAUUUGAAAGUUUUUAUGUUAGUAAAACUAUUAUAAAGUAAUUGUUAAUUAGUGAUAACAACUAAAAAUAUUUUUGUUAUACAUAUUGUUAGAAAUGGCAACAUAUUUGGCAUUGCCUGAUGAGAUAAUAAGUUUAGCACAAAGGGAGAAAGUUGAUAAGAUGAUAAGAGAAGUCCAAGAUUACAGAAUGAAACCAGAAGAAGACAUUGUUCAACACCUUAUUACCGUAAAUCAAAAGAUGCAAAAAGUGUUGUGAAUGGGUCAUGAAAUGAUUAGAAACAAUAAAGUGCAAUACCUAACCCUUAGAGGGACAUUAAUAGAACAGGAGCAUCAAAUCAUUUUAAACGAACUUUGGAAGACAUCGGUACCACAAACCUAUUGGAAUCUAGUUAUAAACUUCGCGAAGUUUAUAAUAUCUUAUGGAGCAAGGAAAAUAGCGAGACAAAAUAUAGGUUCACGAAAGUUAAUUAGGAAGCAAAAUGUGUUUGACAAACCAUGGAUGGAUAAAUUAGUUGUUAGAAAAUUACCAAGAGAACUUAUAUAUUCAAUACCAGUUAUAAAGAUUGAAGAGGCAGAAGAUCCCGAGGAAUUUCCAAAUUGGAUUGUAGAAGAUGAAUAUGAAGAGAAUCAAGAAUUUCUAAAUUGGAUUGUAGAGAAUUUCCCAGAUGAAGAUACGGGAUCGGAGAUGGAAGAAAAUGUAGAACUCAAUAUAAGUGGUUAAAUGUAAAAAUAAAUGUUGUUCAUGUACAAAAUUAAAACUGAAAAAGUAUGGGCUUAUGAAUGAAAAAAAUUGCAUAUUGAUUAAUUAAUUUUUUAUUUAAGUAAUUUAUUUAUUGUUCGAAAUUGUUUUGAGAAAUUUUGUUUAUUUUUUUAACAGAUUGAGUAUUGAAGAUGGAUAAUCAGUUUUUCGUAUGCGUUUAUUUCGAUGGAAUCAUCUUAACAACAACCGUUGGAUGCAUAUUUGAAUGUCGGCAACAAAUAGCAAUGAGAUUUAAUAGAAAUGUCUCAUUGGAUGAUAUGAAGGGAAGAAUUAACGUAAAAAUUGUUAGACGUUGUGGGAGAAGGAUCUCAAAACUUUUCUACAAGUUUCCAAUUUCGACAGAUCCUAUCAAAUUCACCGAAAUGGAACUUAUAGACGACAAAAACGUAGAGACAAUGAUAGCUUUUUACUGUGGGAAUGGGAGUGACAAAAAUUCACCGAUUCACUUAUUUGCUGAGUUAGCCGGUAUGGAGCAGAAUGAAGAUCUCACUGCAUAUAGUGAAGAACAUGCAACUGAAGAACCGUGAGUGGUGGCUCCAAUAUCGUACGUUGAUAGUGAAUAGACUAUACGUGGGAUCGAUAUCGAUCUUAAUAUUACACCCGAUAUUGACGUGGUUGGUAAUGAUGGAUACGAUAAUAGUGAUCAUUGUGACGAAGAGGUCGAUAGUGAUAGUGAUCCCAAUGUAGACGAUGUCCCCGAUGAUAUUGAUGAUGAAGAUGUGAAUAACGAUGGAAACAUUAACGCGUCUUCAGUGGGGAACCAGAUGCUACGUAUUGUGAUACACAAUAACCUUGGGCCACACAUGUCGCUCAUAAACCCCGACGCGGCGCAUGAAGCUGAGUUCCCAGAGUACCCUGAAAUACUUCCUGCUCACCGGCUGGCCGUAAAUUCUGAUCAUGAGGAGUUAUUAGUAGGCCAGAGAUUCGAAAGCAAAGAAGAGUUUGUAUUUGCUAUUAAGCGGUAUAGCAUGAAUAUAUCAGUGGAUUACAAAGUUGCAGUGUCUAAACCGACAUUAUAUAUUAGAGAGUGUUGGAAGUCGAUGGAAGGCUGUAAUUGGCGUGUAUGAGCUGCAUUUAUUCAAAAAUCGCAGAUGUGGGAGAUACGUAAAUUUUUUGGGCCUCACACGUGCACAUCAAUACGUAUGACUGAAGACCAUGGAAAACUUGAUUCUAAAACUAUCUGUACGUUUAUCAUGCCAAUGGUGAAGGACAUGCCGACCAUUAAAGUUUCAGUAUUAAUUGCCGAAAUGCAGGCACAGUUUCACUAUCGAGUAUCAUAUCGAAAGGCGUGGAUAGCUAAACAAUUGGCAAUGGAGCAGUUGUAUAGGGAUUUCGAUGCAUCGUAUAACGAGUUACAGGGAUGGAUAGCUGCUAUGCGAGAGUACGUACCUAGGACUAUCAUUGAGUUACAGACACGACCUUAUUAUGGGCCGGAUAACCAAUUACAACCAGAAAAAAGAAUUUUCCAUCGGAUGUUCUAGACGUUUGAUCCAUGUGUGCACGCAUUUCCUCACUGCAAGCCGUUUGUGCAAGUAGAUGGGACGUGGCUAUAUGGAAAAUAUACACAGAUCUUACUUCUUGCGGUUGCUUAAGACGGCAACAAGAAUGUGCUCCCGAUAGCAUUUGCCAUCAUAGAUAAAGGGAACAUGGAAUCGUGGGAAUUCUUCCUUACCAAAUUGCGGAGGUAUGUUAUUAGCAACGAUAAUAUUUACAUCAUCUCCGAUAGAUGAAAAGGAUUAAUUGCCGCCAUUAGGCGUUCCAGUGUACCCUGGAAAUUUGUUUACUAUAUCCGGCAUAUCGCAGCUAACUUUCAUCGAGAUUAUAAGAAUGCAGACUGGAAGAGACAAGUUGUGAAAAUGGGUAAAUGAUUACCUUAUCUUUUCAACAUAUGUUUUAAUGCUUUAGGCCAAUACUGUAACUUAUCUUUCUUUAAUACAUAUACAACGCACAAGCUGGAGCCACAUAUUUUUUGCCAAAUAAUGGCUCGACUUGAGAGUGACAUGGAGGGUCAAACGAACACAUCUUUCCAACAGUGGUUGGGUACUAUGGAGCCAUGGCAAUUGGCUCAAAGUUUUGAUGAGGGCUUUCGUUAUGGUCAAAUGACCACAAACUUAGUGGAGGGGGUCAACGCUGUGUUGUUGAAAACACGACAUCUCCGUAACAGACGGUGUGAUUGCAGGAGGUUCCAAACACUUCAUUAUCCAUGUGCGUAUGUCGUGGCAGCGUGUGCUAAGGUAAACCUUAAUGUUGAACAAUUUGUUGAUGAUGUGUACACACUCGAGUGCACGUUACGUGUCUGGGAAAAUGAAUUCCUCGUCCUGCCUGACUUAUCUACGUGGGAGGUGCCUCCGACGACUUUCGAACUUGUCCAGACAGAGGGCUGUGCAGGAAUCCGAGAGGUCGUCCGCAAUCAUCCAGAAUUCGUAAUGAGAUGGACAUUAGGGAGAAAUCCGAUGGUAAGCAUUAUGGAUUAUGCAGGUUAGCUGGUCAUAAUCGGAGUAAAUGCCUGCAACGAAACUAUCAUAUUGGACAAUCGUCACGAUCGGGUAGGAAUUGAGCCUAUGUUGUAAUGAAUUUAAUUUAUAUAAAAAAAUUAUAUUGCAAAAUUUGUUCCAAUUAGAUUAAUGUUGUAAUGUAUUUAAUUUAUCUUACGAUACUAAGUUUGUUAAGUUUUACUGUUUUAAUAUUCAAAAUAUCCAAAUUAAUCUAAUUUACGUUAUGGUCAAAUUUUGUUACAAUUUUCAAAGUUCCAAUUAAUCUAAUUAAAUAUAUAGAAAGAAAUACAAACUUUUUUAAUAUAAAAACCCAAUAAACCCCUAAAGUUGAUGGUUAGAUGGUGUGGUCCUAGGGGUAUACCUAUUCGGAGGUCGACGUUCACGUUGUGGGUGAUCACGACAACCAACAUCCUCUUCAGUCGCAGGUGAGGGUGUCUGAUACAUGGAAGAAAAACCAUAUGGCUCGAAUGGCAUCGAUGAACUUGAGCCAGGAGGAGUGCCAUGCUGCAGCGGAUACAUCCAAGGAGGAGUGGAAUACUGCGGCGGAUAUGGGCCGAGGCUAGUGCUGUACUGAGGGGGAUACAGGCCGAGAGAAGUGCUGUGCUGCAAUGGAGACGACCCAAAGAUAUCAAACCCGUAAUGGUAUCUGCCCCCUGACGAGCCCGGGAAAUAGUCGUUGUCUGGGAAAUCCGGAUGAUAAGAAGUAUCAGCCGAAUGUGAAUGCGAUUGCUCAGACUCGGCCUCGGGCUGUGCCUCAAGCUCCACCUCUCGCUCGGGCUCGAGAUCUGGCUGUGGAUCGGGCUCUAUAUCGGCCACUGGCUCGUAUGCCCCAGGUCACUGCACGUGCGGGGGGGCUACAGUCGACUGGGCACCAAGUAAAUAUGGCUUUCCCAUACUAAAGUACCAUUGCAUGUACUCUGGCGAUAGUUGUAAAACGGAAGACAUAUCCAUCCGAGGUCUUCGACCCAUCCGAUUAUCCCACACCGCAAUAUAUCUCCGGUGCACAACCCCCCAAUGUAUUCCAUGUUUCCCUCUCUUGUUGAUGCCGUAAACCUUCCCCACCUCCUUUGGCGGAUCCGGGAUAUACUGGAUGCAACCAAACUGUCGUAAUACUCGAUCCCCAUGGUACCACUCGACCACAUUGAAACUGAUAAUUGGUGCAUUAGUACACCACAAUUGAGAAUGAAUGUAGGCAGAAGAUGGUAUAACGACCACAAUUUUUGGUCUACGAUAUGACAUCCAAAUAAACUGCACGAUUAAUACCAUGGUUAAAAUUUCACACGGUUUGAGUAAGAUAUAUAAAGUAAUUACAUGUCGCGAAUAUUGGAAUAGCUUACCUCUUCUCCGGCAUGUUGCUCAAUCAACAAACGAUAUAUCGAGACAGUGUACGACCUCCCGAUACCCAGAUAAAUACUCCAUCUACGAAAACAAAUUUCAAACAAAUAUAGUAUUGUUAGAAUAGUAUCAUUAUAAAGAAACUAUCAAUUAAUAACAAGUUAAAUUUUAUCACCUGUUAACUAGUGGAUAUACGUAUGGCUGGUGACUAACCGAUGCCAAGAAUGGCAUCCGAUAAAGAGCCCAUGACUGCAACAAUAUAAGGCACCUGCCUAUGUCUGCAGCAUGAGGCUUUGUCAUCCGACAAAGCUCACGAUACAACAUAGCCAGAACUGCGGAGCCCCAGCUAUACGAGCGAACAUUAUGCAAAUCAGUUAAUAGAGGUAAAUACAUGAUAUGAACCCUGUUGUUGUUCGCAUCGGGCAUCAAUACACCCCCUAUAAUAUGCAUAAUGUACGCUCGAGCUGCGCACAUCAACUCUUCUUCAGUGGCAUUAUCUGGUAAAUGCUGAAAAUUUGAUUUCAACCAUAUAAAUUUCAAACUCGAUAAAUUGGACUCAUGAUCGCCGGGCGAAGCUCCUAGGAGGCUAUAACAAAGUGCAGCCGGCUCAGCUAACACACUUACGCCCGUUACGGGACUCCCGUCGAUUGGGAGCCCAAGUUGCAGUGCAACAUCCUCCAGAGUGACAGUGCACUCCUCACACGGCAAAUGAAAAGUGUGGGUCUCCGGGCUCCAACGCUCAACCAAUGCGGAUAUUAAAUCGUACCGGAAAUCAAACGUCCGGAUCAAUGCUGUUGACCCGAAUCCAGCUAGCUCCAAGUACGGCAUCAGUCGUUCAUCCGGGGAAUAUCCUAAACCAUUCACCCGGCCCCCUUAAUACGCGGUACGAUUCCUGAUAAUGUUAAAUUGCAGAAAUAAGUUAUAAUAACAUAAUUUAUUUGCGUAAAUUACAUAAAUCUUUUUAAAUGGAACCUGUGAGUAACAAAUAACAAUAUAUUACCGUUUUAUUAACUGUGUCAGCUAUGUGAGGAUCUUCCUUAAUCAAUGAAGCCGUUGCCAUACCUGCAAUUUCAAAUAAAUUUCGGUUAUUAAUUUCAAUGUUUGAUGGAUUUUAAAUAUUUGUCAAAAUAACUAAAUUUUAUAUAUUGCUUUUAAUUACAAAAAAAAUACCAAACCGUUUUUUCGACAGCAUAUUUUUUGUCAUACUACAUUAAAAAAAAUAAAUAUACCCAAUUCAAAUACAAAUAUUUUUAUUAUUAUUUUAAAAUGAUAAUAAGUAAAAUAUUUUGGUUUAAAUUAUAAUAUAUAUAAUAUACCCGGCAUGUAGUUCAAUAUAUUUUAGUAUUUAUUUUAUUUUCGGAUUUUAUUUUUUAAAAUAUAUUAUUUUCGUAUUUUUUAUAUUAUUUUAGUACAUAAUGUUUCAAAUGUACUGUUUUUGUAUUUUUUUAUAUUAAUUUAAUAAAAAACUCUGAUUUUGACCGUUUGUUUUUUUAUUUUAUUCUCGGAUUUUACUUUUUAAAAUAAACUAUUUUCAUAUUUUAUUUUUUAUAUUAUUUUAGUACAUAAUGUUCCAAAUGUAUUAUUUUAGUUUUUUUAUAUUAAUUUAAUAAAAAAACUCUGAUUUUGGCGGUUUAUUUUUUAUUUUAUUUUCGGAUUUUAUUUUUUUAAAACAUACUAUUUUCGUAUUUUAUGUUUUUUAUAUUAUUUUGGUACAUAAUUUUUAAAAUGUAUUAUUUUAGUUUUUUUAUAUUAAUAUAGAAAAAAAACUCUGAUUUUGGCCCUUUUAUUUUUUAUUUUCAGAUUUUAUUUUUUAAAAUAUACUAUUUUCGUAUUUUAUUUUUUAUAUUAUUUUAGUACAUAAGUUUUCAUGUAUUAUUUUAGUUUUUUUUAUAUUAAUUUAGUAAAAAUCUGUGAUUUUGGCCGUUUUAUUUAUUUUGUUUUCGGAUUUUAUUUUUAAAAAUAUACUAUUUUUGUAUUUUAUUUUUUAUAUUAUUUUAGUACACAAUGUUUCAAAUGUAUUAUUUUAAUUUUUUUAUAUUAAUUUAGUAAAAAAUUCUGAUUUUGGCCGUUUGUUUUUUAUUUUAUUUUUGGAUUUUAUUUUUCAAAAUAUACUAUUUUUGUAUUUUAUUUUUUUUAUUAUUUUAGUACAUAAUGUUUCAUAUGUAUUAUUUUAGUAUAUUUAUAUUAAUUUAGUAAAAAAACUCUGAUUUUGACCUUUUUAUUUUAUUUUCGGAUUUUUUAAAAUAUAUUUUUUAAAAUAUACUAUUAAGCUAUUCUUUUAAUAUUUUUAUACUAUUUUUGUAAAAAAACUCAUCACAUAAAAAAUAAAAAAAAAUCAAAAAUAUAACAUGCCAAAUAAAAUUAAUAAAAAUAUAUCUAAUUAACCUAAAACACACUUACCAAAUAAAUUAAAUAAAAUAAUAAUAAAAUAUUUUUUUGUACAUAACAUAGAUAGGAUUUUUUACUUCAAUAAAAAUUAAAAAUAAAUUAUAAAUAUAUAUAAAAAUUAAAAUAAAUACAAACAUACCUUAAUAUCUCUUUUUAUCCAAAAUAUACCUUGCAAAAAAUUAAAUUUAAAAAUUAAAUUAAAAUCAAUCAACAAUAAUAACAUUAACAAUUAAUAUAAAUCAUUUAUUUCCUUAAAUUAACAAUUAAAAAUUAUUUCCUUACAAAAAAUAUUACCUUUUUUUCCUUCCCUCCCUCUUCUUCUUCUUCUCCUUCUCUUUUUCUUUUUUCUUCCCUCACCAAUACCGCCUCCUCCUCCUCCUCCUUCUCCUUCUUCUUCUUCUUCUUCUUCUCUUCUCUUUCUUUUCUCCUUCCCCCUUUCUUCUUCUUCACUUAUGCACACAAAGAAAUUGGGGACCAUUUUAAGGUCCCCAAACACAAUAAAACAAAAUAAAUGUCUCAGACCAGUCCCGUCGGUGACAGUGACGAGUCCCGUCGGUGCAGAGGAGUCAGCGGUGCCGCCUGUGAGGUACCCUCCACUGGUGCCGCCUAUGGGGUACCUCCACCCAUAUUUUAUUAUUAUUAUUAUUUUCGUCUUAUUCUUUUUUUUAACUGUAAAUCUGUCAGAUUUGAGGGUGGUGCCGCCUAUGCACCACCCUCCAUCACUUCUAAUGACCCAUUUUUGUAUAUAAUCUUAAGGACAUCCCAUUUUAGUUUUUUUUUCCAUAUUAUUAUAAAAAAAUCCCGUUUAUGUUUAUUGGAUAAAAGAAAUUAAAAAAAAGGUUAUGUUUCUCAAAUUUUAAAUUUUUGUUCUCAUUGAGGAAUGGGUAGAUUUCAUAUACUUGUUUAACUUUUUAAAGAGCGGGUUGUUUAUCCAUAAAAUUUAUUUGAGUUUGAAUUUUCGAAAAGUAAUUAUAACCCUUUAUUUGAAUAGCUAGUUUUAAUUGUAUUAUCUAACUGUGUGAUGUAAAUAUAUUAUUACCAUUGAAUGCAUGAAUAUUAAACUUUUAAUUCUAUAUUAUAAAAUUAAAAAAUAAAAAUUGGAGUGGAUGCUCUGCACAUUCAAUAAUUACAUCAAACCAAAGUUGUAAUAAAUGCCAACAAGGUGGAUAGAAACUAAAGGCUGUUUCACUUUCUGCUUUCUGUUCUCAUGUCUCCACACUUGUAAAUCUAAAAACUCCAGUAAUGAUGAAACUCAUUAACCAUUUAUUUUGGUUCCCUUGCUUAUAUCUGCAGCAAAACGAAAUGAACGAAAAACAUAAAAGAUUGUCUUAUUGGGUUUUAGUGGAGCCUGAUGAAUUGAAGUAAACAUAUUAGUUAAUCUGCUGCUUUAAUAAUCGACAUUGUUGUUAAAGUGAAAGGGGGUGAUUCUAUCCGAUUUCUAGUUCAUUUGACAAAAUCUAGUUAGGGAAAGUACACGAAUCCCUCCCAGCAUCUUGCAAAAUGGAUUUACUUGACUACCCCUUUCCUUCCACAUUUUCAACAUAGGAUUCUCAUGCAAAAGCACAUAUAUCUAUGAGGAGAAAGUACAAGGAAUUAAACAAUCAACAAAUUCACUAAUCACAAAGUUUUUUAAAAUAAAUAAAAAAAGGUUCAUGCCUCGUCAUUCCGCACUGUACAAAACUAAUCCUUACAUUCAGCUCAAAAACUGCUGUUAGCUAAUCUGCCGAAAGAAUCCCAAAUCCCAAUCCAAAAACAACUAAAUCGACAAAAACCCUUAAUCUACAAAGGUCUGACUUUGCUGUCUCAGCUCUUUCCUUAACUUUUGAGAGAAGGACUGACAAGCAUCCAUGCUUAGAUCCAUAGCCGCUGCCAAUGCCACAAAGGCAGCAGCAUCCUCCGUGCAUGUCACGUGCUUUACUCCUACUUCCACUUCCGGUUUACUGCAUUUCCCCACACCUUCCACCGUUGACGACAUCACAAAUCCACCCCGGUACAUGCUCUGCGGGGAAAGGGGCAACCCAAAUCCGAAAUCUGACCCUGAUCCCGAUCCUGGUCUUGACCCGGGACGUGAGCCUGACCCCAGGUCGCAGCUGCUUUGCGGGCUUAUUGAUGGAGUUGAUAUGUUUGUUGUCAUAUCCAUGGUGAAUUUUCCCCCAAGUUUGGUGCUGAGGGUGGAACUGGCGACGGUGGUGGUUGUUCCUGUGGCCACAAUAUCAUCAUGGAAGAGGUCAAAUCGGUAUCCAAGGGCGUCAGUGAAACCAGGCUCACGCCAGGCUUCGAGGCGACCCCAGGGUUUCCAGGUUCCACAUUCCGGACGAAGAAUUGACCAUGCUCCAGGGUUUGAACGGCUGACCCUGUCCGAGCCAGGGGAAGGGACAAAUGGGGUUACCAUUGAUGCCAUUGCUACGGGAGAGCCUGAGAGGUCGUGGACUGUUAUUGACCAGCCUUUUCGUUCUUUGGCCGAUUGAUCUUUAUCUGUUUUUAGAGAUGGUAGCCAAUUUCUUGAAGUGUUUGAUUCAGGCAAAGAUGUCCUGGAAAAUAAUAUGACAAAACAAAACCUUGAGAAACACUUGGACAACAAUAAAUUAAACGGCAAAUCCAAACAAUAAUUGAAAAAAAAAACAGAGAUCAGGAGGAAAAAGCAAACCUUGAUCCCAAGUUCCGAUCGCUGGAGCUUCUAAAACCGAACUUGCAAGUGAAAACGGCCUGUUUAACACUCCCCUGAACCUGAAAAACCUGAGGACUACACUCUGGUUCACCACCAAACUGGAACACAAAUCUCGGGUCAGGUUCAGUCCUGAUAGUUAAAAACAAUUGCGCAGAGGAUCCAUUCUUGUUGCUUUUGUUUCGGCCUAUAUCAACCCAUCCAUUAUGAGCAACAGACGGCCUUGAUUCCGCUCCACGUAAAUCCAAGGGCACCGUAACCUUCCCCAAUAACUUCCCAGAUGCCAAUCCGCAGGUACUGCCAUCAGGGUCAGCAUAAACCUCGAUGGAAAGUUUAUAUGAUGAACCCCCUUUCGAGAUGAUCCUAUCCACCUGGAACUUGCUUAAACUGAAACACGCAGCGAGCGAUUUCUGCAAAGAGAAGUUGCAGCUUUCUGGGUUUUGGGUGUUUGCAUGGAUCAAAGGGAUUGAACCCACUUGGUGAGGGAAGUUCUUGAGUUUGAUCUUGCAGUAACAUGGAGAAGUAGAAGGAUGGAUCCUUGAAAGCGAGGGCUUUGUAGAAAGUGGAAGCCUCAGGGCCAAAUUACCUACCAGGAUCCGUACAAAAGGACACGGAUCCAUUAAUAUAACUCUUACUAUUUUUGCUCGUUUUAGGAAGGGUUUUGGAUCGUCUUUUCUCCCAGCUGCUGCUGUUGCAACCCUGCGAAUUACUUGGUGUUGAGUUUACCGACUUAUGCGACGACUAAAGCAUAUUAAAAAGGGUAAGGGGGCAAAGGGAUCUGCAAGCAAAAAGGAAAGUCGAGAGCUGAUUAGAAAACAGGCUGUAAUAUCGCUGGGUUGCAGUGCAGCUGACAAGGGAGAAGGAUAUGGUAAGGUUAAGUGUAGUGUUACGCCUUUGAGAUCGGUCAAAGGCCUGAGAUUCAAUUUCUCUCAACUUACGUUUAUGGUAAAAAUGUCAUCGAGGCCCAUCUACUAGAAAUUAAAUUGCAUUUUACCCCCUUAACUCAAAAAUGGAUAAAUUUUUAACAAUAAAUGAAAUUUUUAGCAAAAAAAAAUUAAUUUAUUUUUUAAUCUAAUAUACAAGGAUUAAUUUUGCUCAUUCUUUUUUUUACUCUAAUAUUAAUGAGUAAUUUAAAGAAAAAAAUUACAAAAUAUUCUUCAAAAGUUCAAUAUAUAUAUAAAUUUCUAGAGAUUUAUACAAAAUAAAAAAAUAAAAAAAUAUGUAAAAAUAUUAAAUUAUAAAAAAAUAAUUUUAAAGUAAAUUACCAAAUCAAAUUAUCAUACUAAAGUAUAUUUAUUUACCUUAUUUUGCUUUGGAAGAUUUUUAAAAUAUAUAUAAUCUCAAAUUUAUACAUUUUAAAAUGUAAUCUCCUUGUCAAUAAAAUUUUGUUUUGACAUGUUACUUUCUACUUUUGAAAAAAUUUAACUCGAAUAAAUUUAAUUCUCUAGAUUUAAAAUUUUAUUUCACUUCUUAAUAUUUUCACUCCAAAUAUAUGGGUUUAGUCCCUAUAUUUUUUAGAUUUAAAAACUUAAAAUUUAUUGUUAAAAUUAUUUUAUUAAAUUCAAGUUCAUUACAAUAUUAUUUUUAAUUAUAUGAUUACAAAGUGAGUAUUUUAUUUUAUUUUAAAAUUCUGCACCGACAAGUUUAACUAAAAAAAUUAGCGAUGUUAACAAAUAAACCUAACUAUUAAAAUCUAAAAAAAAAAGGAUAACAUUCGUGUAAAUAAGAGUACAGAAUCUAAAUUUCAAAUUUAGGAAAAGUAUAGGGAUUGAUGGCAUAUUUAAACCAAUUCAAGUUAAUGGUUUGGGGUGGUUUUGCAGAACAAGUUCACAAAAAUUGAAGCUAGAACCGGCCUCAGGCUAUGAUUUCUCCGACUUAAGAGAAUGGUUGGCAUUGGAAUUGAUUGCAACGACAUGAGUUGGCACACAAUGCGCACGUACACAAACAGAAGAUGCCUUUGCCAGCGGCAGCGACAGCCAGGAUCAUCAAUGUUAUCCUAAAACACUAUGCUAAUCCUUUGUCGUUUUUAAACCUCUUUCGUCUCUUUCGUCUAUUAUUUUAUUUACUUUUUAAGUUUUCCCCACGUACGUUAAAAUAUAAGGUGAAAUUUUAUUAUUAGUCUAUAUUAUGCACUAUGUUACGAAUUUAGUCUAAUUUGAUCAAUUUUUUUUUUGAAUCUUAAAAUUUUGAUAUUAAUUUGAAUAAUAAUGAUUAAAUCAUUAAAUUAAAAUUUAUUACUGGUUAUAUAUUAUAUGUAAGUUGUAGAUGUAAUCUUUAUUUUCAAUUUAAUUAUUCUAAUUCAUAUAUUUUUUACAUUUUAAAAUUUGAGUUAUGAUCUAGAAUGAUUUUUGUUAAAUUUAUAAACUAAAAAAAGUAUGACUUUUUAAUAUCAUGUUAGUAUAAAAUUAUAUAUAAUAUUUAUUGCAUAAAAAUUUCAAAUUUUAAAAAUUAUAUAAAUAUUAAAAUAAUAAAAUUCAUGAAUAGAAAGGUGAAUAACAGAAAUUACCUAAAAUUAAAAAGAGAAACAAUGUAUAAUAAGAUUGAUAGGGUUGGAGAAUGGACAUUGACAGGCGGAAUGUGGUGUGUGGGGUUCGGGGCUCCAAGAUCAACAAUGGUACACAGCUGUUACAUUUCACAACAUUGAUUGGAUGCGGAGUAGUGGAGAAGUGGGGGCAUCAAGCUAAGGGAUCCAACUCCAAUAUUAGGUCCGCAUUCAGGAUGAUACCACUUCAAAUGAACACGUUUCAGGCUUAAGCGACACUCCCAUCACAUUGAAACUGUAUUUUUCAAACUUUUGAUUGGUGUGCCAACUGAAAUCUUGCGUCAAUGGGGUUUCAGCACGGCAUUGACCAUUUCUUCAAUGUUCAACUUCAUUUGAAAUAAAAUGCUUUUAAUUUGAAAAUAUUGGUAUUUCUAUAUUUAUUAUGGUAUGUUAAGCCGUCAGAUUUUUCAAGCUUAAAAUUUCUCAAAUUUACAAUAAAGUAAAGAAAAUUGCAUCCAGUACAAAAUGUCAAACUUCGAUACUAUGGGUGUUGGGUUAUUUGUAAAUUAAAUAUAUCUGUAUUCAAAUUUGACUACUACGGGAUUUAAUUUUAAUUAAUAUAAGAAAAUCUUGACAUUUAUGGGUGUUUUAAGUAAAUUGAUGUCAUGUAUUAGUACUUUAUUUUGGUUAUUGGACAAUAAGACUUUGACACAUAUGAGUGUCGAGUUUCAUGUAAAUAAUGUUAUGUAUUUACGUUUAAUUUUGACCAUUGGAAAUUUUAACCUUAAUAUAAGAAGACCUCGAGAUCUAUGAGUGUCGAAACAUGCGAUCACCACUACAUAUAAUCAUGGUAGAAAGGUGAAGACUAGAUACCUUUACCUUCUAUUUUCCUUGUGCUAAAGACUCAAUUAGCUUGGAAGAUAUAGUCUUAAUCAUGUGCCUUCCAAUUGAAGGAAUUAUUGUAACUGGUUAGUCUCAAAUUCGAUCAAUGAGAUUGAUAUCAACUGGGAUCGAAUCAAGUUCACUUUGUUGCAAACAUUUAGCAAGAUGCUGCCAUCAUAUGAUGUCGUUGAUGAAGAGUUUGGACAUUAUGUUAGAGCAUACAUACUGUGAAAAAUAAAAUAAAAAUAAAAAAAUAAAGAAACACACAAAUUUUACGUGGAAACCCUUUCGGGAAAAAAACCACGGGCAGAGGAGAAGAAAAUUCACUAUGUCGAAAAUUUGAAUCAAUACAAGAGGAAUAGACUAUGUCUAUUUAUAGGCUUAAAAAGCCAUAUUCUAGUAGGAUUGAAACACCUUAUCCUAAUCAAUAUAAAAUAGAUGAAGUUUAAUAAGGUUUAAAAAACCUUAUUCUAAAAUAAAAUAAAAGAACUCUAGUUCUAUAUGGAUUUUACUUUUAUUUUAUUUUCCAUCGUAUUUUAUUUAAAUAAGAAUUUGGGUCACUUAAUUCUAACAAUCUCCACCUUGACACAAAUUCUCAAUGAACAAGUUCUUCAUCACGAACUUUCAAUAAACAAGUUCUCCACCUCCUCCAUAAAACCCCUUAAAGGUUUAACUUCAACAAUGAACACCAACCAAGUCUAAGCAAUGCUCAAACUUGGUUAUAGGAAGUGACUUAGUCAUCAUAUCUGCAGGAUUUUCAUGAGUACUAAUUUUGCUCACAACAAUAUCACAACGAGCAAUAAUAUCACGAACAAAAUGAUAUCGAACAUCAAUGUGUUUUGUUCUCUCAUGAAACAUUUGAUCUUUUGUAAGAAAGAUGGCACUCUGACUAUUACAAAAUACUGUGCUGAUUUGAAUGUCUUCAUUGAGUUCACUAAAGAGUACCUUCAACCAAAUAGCUUCUUUACAAGCCUCAGUAAUCGCCAUGUACUCAACUUCAGUGGUAGACAAAGCGACUGUAGACUGCAAAGUGACUUUCCAAUUGAUUGCACAACCUCCGAUUGUAAAGACAUAACCUGUGAGAGAUCUUCUUUUAUCAAGGUCUCCAGCAAAAUCAGCAUCAACAUACCCUAUGACUCCAUCUUUAGUUCUUCCAAAUUGUAAGCAAACAUCAGUAGUACCUCGUAAGUAUCUUAGAAUCCACUGAACUGCUUUCCAGUGUUCUUUACCGGGAUUUGCCAUGUAUCUGCUAACUGCACUGACUGCAUAUGAUAAAUCUGGACGUGAACAAACCAUAGCAUACAUGAGAGAUCCCACUGCACUAGAGUAUGGAACAUGUGACAUGUACUCAAUCUCAUCAUCUGAUUGUGGAGACAGAACUGAUGAAAGUCUGAAAUGGGCUGCUAAAGGAGUACUAACAGGCUUAGCACUCUGCAUAUUGAACCUGCAAAGAACUUUCUCAAUGUACCCCUUCUGACUUAGGUACAAUUUACUUGUUUUUCUAUCUCUGAGAAUCUCUAUUCCAAGUAUCUUUUUUGCUGGCCCUAAAUCUUUUAUCUCAAAUUCUUUACUUAGUUGGGUUUUGACAUUUCUUAUCUCUCCUUUAUCUUUUGCUGCUAUCAACAUGUCAUCAACAUAAAGAAGUAGAUACACAAAAGAACCAUCACUGUUUUUCUUAAAGUAAACACAACUGUCAAAACUAUUUCUUUUGAAAUCAUGAGAAGUCAUAAAGGAAUCAAACCUCUUGUACCACUGUCUUGGUGACUGUUUCAAACCGUAAGGGGACUUUUUUAGCAAGCAAACAUAGUCCUUUUUUUUUGAGACUAUAAAACCCUCUAGUUGUUACAUGUAAAUAUCCUCCUCAAGUUCUCCAUGCAGAAAUGCAGUUUUUACAUCUAACUGCUCAAGCUCCAAAUCAUGCAUGGCCACAAUACCAAGCAAAGCUCGAAUCGAACUAUGCUUAACAACUGGAGAGAACACAUCUGUGAAGUCCACUCCUGGAAUUUGACUGUAACCCUUUGUAACAAGCCUUGCUUUAUAUCUGGGUUUUUCAACUCCUGGAGUCCCUUCUUUCUUUUUAAACACCCAUUUACAAUGAACAACCUUUUUACCUUUAGGUAGUUUCAAAAGGUCCCAUGUUCUAUUUUUGUGGAGUGAUUCCAUCUCUUCUUGCAUAGCAAACAUCCACUUUUCUGAGUCUUCACAGCUAACCGCCUCAGAAUAAUUAGAUGGCUCUUGAUUCGCAUCUAUAUCUUCAGCCACAUUUAAAGCAUAAGCAACUAGAUCAGCCUCGGCAUACUUCUUUGGAGGUUUAAUUUCUCUUCUAGUUCUGUUUUUGGUGAUAUAGUAUUGUGGUGAAGAAGCAACUCUAUUCUCAACUUUUGUUCUGGCUUAAGGAGUUGACUCUAUAUUAAUCUGAUUCUCCACCUACUUUUGAUUUUCUUUAUUGGAAGAGUCUUUAAGAGAUAAGUUAGGUAGCAUAGCAGUUUCAUCAAAAGCAACAUCUCUGCUAAUCACAACUUUUCUAUUUUCAGGACACCAUAACUUAUACCCUUUUACACUAGCUUUAUAACCAAGAAAAACGCAUUUAAUGGAUCUCGGUUCCAAUUUUCCAUUAUCAACAUGAGCAUACGCAGGACACCAAAAAAUCUUUAAAUUGGAAUAAUUAGCAGGAUUACCAGACCAUACCUCUUGUAGAGUCUUUUUCUCAAUAGCAACGGAUGGAGAUCGGUUGAUUAAAAAACAUACAGUAGAGGCUGCUUCUACCCAAAAUGACUUCGAUAAGUUGGCAUUUGACAACACACAUCGAACCUUUUCCAUGAUCGUUCUGUUCAUUCGUUUUGCAACGCCGUUUUGCUGUGGAGUAUGAUGAACUGUCAAGUGUCUCACGAUCCCUUCUGACUUGUACAAUCUAUUAAACUCAUCAGAACAAAACUCUAAGCCAUUGUCUGUGCGGAGGUAUUUUAUCUAUUUUCCCAUCUGUUUUUCAAUCAUAAUUUUCCAAGACUUAAAUGCGAAAAACACAUCGCUUUUCUGCUUCAGGAAGAACGCCCAAACUUUUCUGGAAAAAUCAUCAAUAAAGGUUAGCAUAUAAUUAGCUCCACCUCUCGAAGGCACUCUGGAUGGCCCCCACAGAUCAGAAUGAAUAUACUCCAAUAUUCCCUUCGUGUUAUGGAUUCCUCUAGUGAAUCGAACUCUCUUUUACUUCCCAAAAACACAGUGCUCACAUAAAUUUAGUUUGCAAAUUCCUUGCCCAUCAAGAAGUCCUCUUUUACUCAAUUCUACCAUGUCAUUCUCACUCAUAUACCCUAGGCGCAUAUGCCAAAGUUUAGUAAUAUCAUCAUCUGACAAGGAACAAGAAGCAAUACCUGCAUCACCAGUAACAGUAGAACCCAGCAAAACAUAUAACUUGGAAGUUUUUCUUUGCCCUUUCAUCACAACAAGGGAACCUUUGGAAAUCUUUAAAAUCCCACUUUCAGCUGUAUAUCUGUACCCUUUUGAAUCAAGAGUACUUAACGAAAUUAAAUUUCUCUUCAAUUCUGGAACAUGUCGUACCUCACUAAGUGUUCUGAAAACUCCAUCAAACAUCUUAACUUUAACUGUUCCAACACCUGCGAUUUUACACGAAGUAUUAUUUCCCAUCAAAACAACACAUUCAGACACUGUUUCGUAAGUUGUAAACCAAUCCCGAUUGGGACUCAUGUGGAAGGUGCAGCCUGAAUCAAGUAUUCAUUCCUCGCUCACUUUAGAAUCAUUGAUAGAAGCAACUAGAAGUUCACCAUCGCUGUAAUCUUCUACAACAUCAGCUUCACCAGAAUUUUCUUGUUGUUUUCCCUUUUGAUUCGCAGCCUCCCUUUUAAUCUUAUUUUGUAGCUUAUAGCACUCAGAUUUAAUGUGCCCUUUCUUCUUGCAGAAGUUACAAGUUUUACCUCUGUUUGAAGACUUCGAUCUACCUUUAGAUUUACCACGAGGAUUCCGUUCCUGUGUCCUACCACGAUCAUCAUCAGCAUUCCGAUCUUGUCUCCCACGAACAAUGAGACCCUCUCCCUGAGAGUCGGGUUUAACCACAAGAUGCUUCAUCUUAUCAUACGAGGUUAAAGAAUCAUAAACCUCAUCAACUGUGAGAGACUCACGGCUAUAUAAAAUCGUGUCUCUAAAGGUUGAAUAAGACGGGGGCAACGAACAAAGUAGAAUCAACCCUAGAUCUUCCUUAUCAUACUGAACCUCCAUGGCCUCCAAGUUUGAGAGAAUUUCUUUAAACACUGUUAAGUGUUCGUGUAUAGACGCACCUUCCUCCAAACGAUGAGCAUAAAGAUGCUGCUUCAUAUGCAACUUACUUGUUAGAGUUUUCGACAUACAUAUUUGUUCUAGCCUCUUCCACAAUGCAGCGGUAGUCUUCUCUUUCAUCACAUCCUGCAAAAUUUUGUUGGACAAAUGCAGAUGUAAUUGUGUUAACGCCUGUUGAUCCUUACGCUUCUUCUCUUCAUCUGUUAAUGUCGAAGGCAUCUUAUCUAUCCCUAGCAGGGCAUCCUCCAGAUCCAUUUGUGCAAGAACUGCUUGCAUCUUAAUUUGCCACAGCGCAAAUCUGGUGUUGCGAUCCAACAACGGAAUUUCAUACUUCAAAGAGGCCAUUACCGUGAUCGAGAUGAAUAACUCGGAAGCUCUGAUACCAAUUUGUGAAAAAUAAAAUAAAAAAUAAAAAAAAACACACAAAUUUUACGUGGAAAACCUUUCGGGAAAAAAACCACGGGCAGAGGAGAAGAAAAUUCACUAUGUCAAAAAUUUGAAUCAAUACAAGAGGAAUAGACUAUGUCUAUUUAUAGGUUUGUAAAGCUAUAUUCUAGUAGGAUUGAAACACCUUAUCCUAAUCAAUAUAAAAUAGAUGAAGUUUAAUAAGGUUUAAAAAACUUUAUUCUAAAAUAAAAUAAAAGAAGUCUAGUUCUAUAUGGAUUUUACUUUUAUUUUAUUUUCCAUCGUAUUUUAUUUAAAUAAGAAUUUGAGUCACUUAAUUCUAACACAUACUGUACAUCAUCAAUGGAAUGUUGAUGGAAGAUAGAUCUGACAAUUUUUGCCACUACAUGUAUUUACCUUUGCUUGAAAACCUCAUUUAUACCUCGUACAUAAAAGGGGGUUUACACUUUUGGCAUUCAUGUACCGAGCAUUUAUGAUAGUAACCUACCAACAAGCCAUUGGAUUAACGAUUGUUAAACCCUCCGACGAGUAGUAUGCUGACAUUGUUCAUAGUUUUAAUUCCUUCUUAUCCAUUCCCUUUUCCAUUAGAGAAAAGAUACGAAGAUAUUUAUAUUUAAUAUUCAAAGUGUAUUUUGAGUUAUAAUUUUUUUUAUAAUGCGCAUUCAUUUAAAAUAUUUAUAUAAUUCAGAUAUGAAUUAAUAUCGAUAAAUAUACAAGUGAAUGGGUAAGUUAUUAGAUAUUUAUUUUUAAAGAAUUAACAAUUAUUGUAAGCUUAUGUCUCUAUUUAUUAUAAUAAUUUGUAGUUUCUAGGGACACUAUAUUGGGUUGAGGAGAUUCAAGUCCUAGUAUCGUGACACGUAGCCGAGGAGGUGUACAUACUAGGGAGGGUUUACAUGUUCGUUAAAUGCUUCCAUAUUGUUGAGUGACAACAUCAUGAUUGAGUGUUACGACAGUUCAGCAUGUAGCAAUCUGUGAUAGCCCAAAAUUGACCCUAGUCGGGAAGUGGUUUCGGGACCACAAAACCGAGUCAUACUAAUAAUUAGCCAUCAUAUUUGAUGCUUAUUAUAUGUAUAUAUGCAUGUGUGAAAAUUUCAUGCUUGAAUUUGGUUAAUUGUAAGUGAAUUUUAUUAAAUAGGACUUAUGUGAGAAAAUUUAGAAAUGUGCUAGGCAAAUGUGAAGUGGCCUAUUAAUGCAUGUUAUGAAAAUGAUGGGUUUGCAUGUCAAAUUACCCAAAAUUUGAGCUAGUGGCUGGCCAUGCUAUGGGUGGAAACAUGUUGGGAACAUGUUGGCUUAGUGUGUUAUGUUAGAAAGAAUAAAUAAAAGGGUUAGUAAUUAAGUAAUGAAAAGGGAGGGGUGAUGAAAACAAAGUUGUCUCAUCCAUCCCCCCCAUUUGCCGUAACUAGACAAAAAAAAGGAGAAAGAAUGUGUUCAUCUUCUUCUCUAUCUUGCCAAAACCGAAACAAAAAGGAAAGAAAUAGGGAAGUUUUCAUUAAGGCAAUUCGGCAACCCUUUUUCUAGUGGGAGGUGAGUUUUGAAAUGUUGGUUUUAACUUCCUUUGUAUGUUGAGCUAAUUGUUGAAAUGCAUUUCGGCAAUGUCAUGAAAAAUCAAACUUUUAUGGUGGUUUGGGCAUUUAGCCGUAUAUCAAGAGGUUAGGAGUAGAGGUUGUUUCAUGUUGUAUUGAAUAAGUAGAGAUUAUUAUGAGGUUGAAAUUUGUGGAAUUUUAGUUAAGUAAUGCUUGGUACAUUCGGCCAUAUGGGUUAAUGGAAUGUUCAUUUUAUUUGUUAAUUUCUUUUAUGAGAAAUGGGUAAUUGUUAAAGCCGAAUGAGUUAUGGAAGUUUUUAUAAAUGUAUGAAGUUCAAGGUGCAAAAUUUUAGUCUUGAUGUUAUGGAUAAUUCGGUUGAGAUAUGGGGAGAGGGAGUUGUCAUUUAGGUUAAGAUCAAAGGGAUGAGCAAUAGGCAUUAAAAGGUGAAAUGUGUGAAACUUAAAGUGUAAAAAUCUAUAUGUAAUUACAUAGGAAAUGUUAAAAAAACUAACAUGGUAUAUUCGGCCAUGUAGAGUACAUCCUAGAGAUAUUAUAUUUAAUUCCCUACAAUCGACUAAAUGGGUGAUUAGUAAGAGUGAUUGCCGAAUAUACUAACAUACAUAUGCAUGUGUAAUUGGAUUGUAAAUAUUUAGCAAGGCGGUUAAACUAGUUGAUUUAUUGAUUAAGCUCAAGGAGUUAAAGGAGGAGAAUCAAGCAAAGGCAAAGAAAAGAUCAUCGAGUAGCCGAGUUGGAACCGUCUUACCCAACACAAAGUAAGUCAUUAAGCAUAUAGUUUGUAUUAAUUUAAAUGGUCAUAACGUCUAUGUAAUGAUGCUGAAUGGAAUGAUAAAUAUAUAUAUAUACAUGUAUGUAUGUGGUGAUGAAAGUGUUGAAUGAGAAGAAAAGAGGUGAGAUGUAUUGAGUUGUUGAUCUUGGCACUAAGUGUGCGGGUAUAAACUUUUAUGAUCAUGAGAUUGGCGCUAAGUGUGCGGGUUUAAAUUGUACAGCACUAAGUGUGCGAGUUUGAUUAUAUAGCACUAAGUGUGCGAGUUUGAUUAUAUAGCACUAAGUGUGCGAGUUGAUUAUAUAGCACUGAGUGUGCGGACUUAAUAUAUAUUUUUGAAUCACUAUGGACACUAAGUGUGCGACAUUAUUGAGUUGAUCACGGACAGCGGAUCGGGUAAGUACCUUGAGUUCAUGGCCAAUAGGCGCUAUGUUUAUAAUUGGAGUUGAGCUUGGUAAGUUUGAACCUAUGUGACAAUUAUAAUUGAAGUCACGUACAUAAGAUUUAUUGUGGAAUAGGUGAAAGGUCGUUUAGAUGUAUGAUUGUAACGAAAAUAAAAUGAUGUAUGAAAAUGCCUCAAAUAUCCUAUUGAUUAGUAUAUGGAAUGUGAAUGCAUGACUUGGUAUGAGAUUGAACCGAUAGGUCUAAGGAACUAUGGUAUGGUUCGGUAUGGAUGGAGUAACUAGCCUCGUUCCAUUUUGUUUCCUCUUGUGAUAAUGUUGUUAAUGGAUGGUAGUGCAUUGCUUAUGACUUACUGAGUUAUAUACUCACUCGGUGUUUCCUUGUCACCUAUUUUAGGUGUCUUGGACUCGUCUCUUUUUGCAUGAUCGGGCCGUCAUUGGAGUCAUCACACCGGCUAGCAAGUUUUGGUACUUUCUUCUUAGUCGGCUUAGGAGUACAUUUCGGCAUGUAUAGGCUAUUAUGUUGUGUUGAACUUUGGUAUGUAAACUUUUAGCCAUGCGAAAAUGGCAUAAAUGUCGGUUGGGUUUGGUUUUAUAACGCUAGGUCGUAAGCCUUGGUAAUUCGACUUUUCUUUUUAUGCCAUAUGUCAUGGUUGAUUAUUUUGGUGUUAAAAUUCAUGAUAUGGCAAUAGUUUAGUAGGGGGAUGUUUGACAAUGAUUAGCCUUUGGCAUGGCUAGUCAUGAUCAUAAUUUGUGAUAUGUAUGAUGAAUUACUAGCUAGAUCAAGGAGAAAUCACGAAAUGGGCAUAGUUGCUUUCGUAACAGAUGCUGGCAGCAGCAGUGACGUGAGAUUGAAAAAUCACUAAAAAUAGUAGGAGUGGAAUUAAUUGAUGAAUAAAUUAUGUAAUCGAAGCUCGAUGAGUCUAUUUUCAUAUAGAAGUAACGAAACGAUCAUAUGGACAGUAUGUUAAGAGAUAUUCAGGUUCUCGUGAGAUAGGGCCAGAACGGUUUCUGGAUUCCCUGUUCCGAUUUUGGAAAUUCAUUAUAAAUUAACCAGAGAUAAUUAGGAGUCAUGCCAUAUAUGUGCAGAUUCCUCUUUGAGUCUAGUUUCUAUAGAAACAAACUACAUCAGUAUUGAAGCUCUGUGCAGGGAUAUAUCCAAUUCGUAAUUCGCAAGGGUCAGUGUAGUCGAUCCCUGUAACAUGGGAGACUUUGACUAAUAAAUUGUACUAAUUGGCCUGACAAAAAAUUCUACAAAAAUUCUACCAUAUAGGUAUAUGAGUCUAGUUCUAGGGAAAAUUUACGGAAUUGGAUUUUGAGUUUCAGAACUCAAGAUAUGAUUUUUAAAGCGACUAGUACGCAGAUUGGCAGCUUGUCUGGGAAAUGUCAAAUAAGUGGUUUGAAGUCUGUUAACACCUCGUGUUCGACUCCGGCGACAGUCUCGGGUUCGGGGUGUUACAAUUUUAUUGGUAUUAGAGCUAUGGUUUAGUCGGUUCUAGGACUACCAUAGCGCGUAUGAGUCUAGCUAUACAUGCCUUAAUGUUAAUGUUUAAAUGUGUGAUGACUUCUGACGGUUAAAAUGUUUUUGUUUUGAUUAGUAAAUGGACCCCGGUGUAGAAAGAACCUUAGCGGAUGACGUUGAAAGUGUAGCGGCUGCUCCUGCACAAGGGACACCGCCUGUUGAACCUCAGUCAUCUGCGAAUAAUCAAGGUGAGGGGGCUAAACAAGCCUUCUUUACCAUGAUGAAUGAGUGGGUCGCGCAAUAUGCCCGAACCAAUCCGGCUGUCCAACAAUUCCUGAAUUUGAAUAAUCCACCCCAAGAGCCCGUAAUGCCAUCAGUCACUGAUCCUGUGAGGCUGAGUAAGCCACCUGUAGACUUGAUUAGGAAGCGUGGGGCUGAGGAGUUCAGGGCCAUAGUUACUGAUGAUGCUGAAAGGGCCGAGUUCUGGCUUGAUAACACCAUUCGGGUGUUUGAUGAACUGUCAUGCACACCCGAUGAAUGUCUAAAGUGUGCUAUAUCCUUGUUGCGGGACUCAGCCUACUAUUGGUAGAGGACCCUGAUUUCCAUAGCCCCAAACGAACGAGUUACUUGGGACUUCUUUCAAACGGAAUUCCGAAAGAAAUAUAUUAGCCAACGGUUCAUUGAUCAAAAGCGCAAAGAAUUCUUGGAACUCAAGCAAGGCCGUAUGACAGUAUCUGAAUACGAACAUGAAUUCGUAAGACUCAGUAGGUAUGCCCGGGAGUGUGUAGCUGAUGAGGCUGCUAUGUGCAAAAGAUUCGAAGAAGGAUUGAAUGAAGAUUUGAAGUUACUAGUGGGUAUUUUGGAGAUAAAAGAAUUCGUAACACUAGUCGAACGAGCCUGCAAGGCGGAAGAACUUGGAAAGGAGAAGAAGAAGGCUGAAUUUGAAGCUAGAGACUAUCGUAAAAGAUCGACGGGUAAAGCUCCGUUCUCAGCUGUAAAGAAGUUCAGGGAGGACACUAAUAAGUCGAGGACGACUGCGGGAAUUUUCGUCAGACCACGACCAUCGACGGACUCCCGAGCUACUUCGGUAGCUAGUGUGGGCAAUAAUCGUCAAGAGAAACCUGAAUGUCCCCAAUGCGGAAGACGACACCUAGGUGAAUGUUGGGGUAAGUCUAUUAACAGGGCCUGUUACGGAAGCGGUUCGAAGGACCACUUCAUUAGAGAUUGCAUGGAGCUUGAUGAGAAGAAUAAGAUUCAAGGUGCAAGACCUAGUGGAGUGACAACUAGAGGUAGACCACCGAGAAUUUUAGGAGGUAGGGGUGGUAGUCAGAGAGGGGCCUCUGAUACGACUGUUUGAGCCGAGAACCGUACUCCUGCUAGAGCAUAUGUCAUUCGCGCACGAGAGGAGGCAUCCUCCCCUGACGUCAUCACUGGUACCUUCACUCUCUUUGAUACUAAUGUGAUUGCAUUGGUUGACCCUGGCUCUACUCAUUCAUAUGUAUGCGAAACCUUAGCAUCCAGUAAGACUCUACCUGUUGAGUCUACUGAGUUCGUAAUUCGAGUGUCAAACCCUUUGGGUCAAUACGUACUUGUUGAUAAAGUGUGUAAGAGAUGCCCUCUAAUAAUCCGAGAAUCUUGUUUUCCGGCCGAUUUGAUGCUUUUGCCGUUUGACGAAUUUGAUGUUAUUCUUGGUUUGGAUUGGUUGACCGCGCAUGAUGCGGUUGUGAAUUGCAAAAGCAAGACUAUUGAUUUGAGGUGCGCAAAUAACGAGAUAAUCCGAGUUGAGUCUACGGACUUAAGGGGGUUGCCAGCUGUAAUAUCAGCAAUGUUGGCCCAGAAAUAUGUAAGAAAAGGGUGCAAAGCAUACCUUGCGUAUGUACUUGAUGACAAAGAAUUAGAAAAGAAACCCGAAUCUGUGCCGGUGGUUUGUGAAUACCCGGAUGUUUUUCCUGAAGAGUUACCGGGUUUGCCACCUGUUCGGGAGAUAGAGUUUGGUAUUGAGCUUAUACCUGGAACUACGCCAAUUUCAAUAGCUCCGUAUCGUAUGGCACUAACCGAGUUAAAGGAAUUGAAAGCUCAAUUGCAAGAGUUGACGGAUAGAGGUUUCGCUCGACCAAGUUUCUCACCUUGGGGUGCACCAGUAUUGUUCGUGAAAAAGAAGGACGGAACCAUGAGGUUGUGCAUUGACUAUCGUCAACUGAAUAAAGUGACGAUAAAGAAUAAAUAUCCAUUACCGCGUAUUGAUGAUUUGUUUGAUCAACUAAAGGGAGCCUCAGUGUUUUCAAAGAUAGAUUUGAGAUCGGGUUAUUAUCAGUUGCGGAUUCGAGAUUCGGACGUACCCAAAACUGCUUUCAGAACGAGGUACGGUCACUACGAGUUCUUAGUGAUGCCGUUCGGGCUCACUAAUGCCCCUGCGGUAUUUAUGGAUUUGAUGAAUCGGAUCUUCAGACAGUAUUUGGACCGGUUCGUAGUUGUGUUCAUUGAUGACAUCUUAGUCUAUUCAGGAGAUGAGACCGAACAUGCUGAGCACCUGAGGUUAGUGUUGCAAAUUUUGCGGGAUAAGAAGUUAUAUGCUAAGUUCAGUAAGUGUGAGUUCUGGUUAAGAGAGGUUAGUUUCUUGGGUCAUGUGGUAUCCGCAUCGGGUAUUCGAGUUGACCCGAGCAAAAUUUCAGCCAUACUUAACUGGAAGCCUCCGAGAAAUGUUACCGAAGUUCGGAGCUUCCUGGGGCUCGCCGGUUAUUACCGAUGAUUUGUAAAAGGUUUCUCGAUGAUAGCCACACCAAUGACGAAGCUACUUCAAAAGGAUGCUAAGUUCGAAUGGACGGAGAAAUGUCAGAAAAGCUUCGAUCAACUGAAAACUCAUUUGAUUGAAGCUCCAAUUUUAGUGCAACCCGAAUCAGGCAAAGAGUUUGUCAUUUAUAGUGACGCAUCCCUACUCGGAUUGGGUUACGUAUUGAUGCAAGAAGGUUGAGUUGUGGCCUAUGCGUCGAGAAAAUUGAAGCCACACGAGAGAAAUUAUCCAACCCAUGAUCUCGAACUAGCCGCCAUCGUAUUUGCUUUGAAAAUAUGGCGACAUUAUUUGUUUGGCGAAAAGUGCCAUGUAUUUUCGGAUCACAAAAGUCUCAAAUAUUUGAUGACUCAAAGAGACUUAAAUCUGCGACAAAGACGUUGGCUUGAGUUGUUGAAAGAUUACGAGCUUGUCAUUGAUUACCACCCAGGAAAGGCUAAUGUGGUUGCGGACGCCUUAAGCCGGAAAUCGCUGUUUGUUUUACGAGCGAUGAAUGUGCACUUGUCUGUUCUACCCGACAAUGUGUUAGUAGCUGAAUUAAAGGCCAAACCAUUAUUGAUUCAUCAAAUUCGUGAAGCUCAGAAAAUCGAUGAUGAAUUGGUUGCAAAACGGGCUGAAUGUAUUCCGAAUAUGGAAUCCGAAUUUCAAAUUGAUGAUGACGAUUGUUUGAGGUUCAGAAGUCGGUUGUGUGUUCCAAGAAAUUCAGAACUCAUUUCGAUGAUUCUGAACGAAGCUCAUUGUAGCCGAAUGUCAAUUCACCCGGCGAGUACGAAAAUGUACAACGAUUUGAAACGUCGGUUUUGGUGGCAUGGUAUGAAACGGGACAUCUCCGACUUUGUUUCGAGAUGUUUAAUAUGUGAACAAGUGAAAGCGGAACAUCAAGUGCCUUCAGGAUUACUUCAGCCGAUCAUGAUACCCGAGUGGAAAUGGGAUCAAGUCACAAUGGACUUUGUGUCCGGACUACCAUUGUCAGCAAGCAAGAAGGAUGCGAUUUGGGUUGUUGUUGAUAGACUGACUAAGUCGGCUCACUUUAUCCCCGUGCGUACGGAUUUUUCAUUGGAUAAACUAGCCGAAUUGUAUGUUCCUCAGAUUGUGAGAUUACAUGGAGUACCUAUUUCUAUCGUGUUGGAUAGAGAUCCGAGAUUCACCUCGCGAUUUUGGAAGAAAUUGCAAGAAGCUUUGGGUACCAGGCUGCAUUUUAGCACUGCUUUUCAUCCACAAACCGAUGGUCAAUCUGAGCGGAUAAUUCAGAUACUUGAGGAUAUGUUGAGAUGUUGCAUCCUCGAGUUUAGUGGUUCAUGGGAACGGUAUUUACCUUUGAUUGAAUUCGCUUACAACAAUAGUUUUCAAUCAAGUAUUAAGAUGGCACCUUACGAGGCUUUGUACGGUCGUAAAUGCCGUACACCAUUAUUUUGGACCGAGCUUGGUGAAAGUAAAAUUUUCGGAAUCGAUUUGAUUAAAGAUGCCGAACAGAAAGUAAGGGUAAUCCGUGAAAGUCUAAAGGCAGCCACGGAUCGUCAGAAAUCGUAUGCGGAUUUGAAACGAAAAGACAUUGAAUAUCAGGUGGGAGAUAAAGUGUUUCUUAAAGUUUCGCCUUGGAAAAAGGUACUCAGAUUUGGCCGAAAGGGCAAGUUGAGUCCGAGAUUCAUUGGGCCAUACGAAAUAUCCGAACGAGUCGGUCCAGUUGCGUAUCGAUUGAUUUUACCCCCUGAACUUGAAAAGAUUCACGACGUCUUUCAUGUUUCGAUGCUUUGACGCUAUAGAUCUGAUCCUUCGCACAUAAUCAGUCCGUCGGAGGUUGAAAUUCAAGCUGAUAUGAGUUAUGAAGAAGAGCCGAUGCGUAUCCUAGCUUGUGAAGUGAAGGGGUUGCGAAACAAAAGGGUUCCGUUAGUAAAGGUGUUAUGGCUCAAACACGGGAUCAAGGAAGCUACUUGGGAAACCGAGAGCUCGAUGAAAGAACGAUACCCAAACCUAUUUACCGGUAAGAUUUUCGGGGACAAAAAUUUCUUGAGUGGGGGAGAGUUGUGACAGCCCAAAAUUGACCCUAGUCGGGAAGUGGUUUCGGGACCACAAAACCGAGUCAUACUAAUAAUUAGCCAUCGUAUUUGAUGCUUAUUAUAUGUAUAUAUGCAUGUGUGAAAAUUUCAUGCUUGAAUUUUGUUAAUUGUAAGUGAAUUUUAUUAAAUAGGACUUAUGUGAGAAAAUUUAGAAAUGUGCUAGGCAAAUGUGAAGUGGCCUAUUAAUGCAUGUUAUGAAAAUGAUGGGUUUGCAUGUCAAAUUACCCAAAAUUUGAGCUAGUGGCUGGCCAUGCUAUGGGUGGAAACAUGUUGGGAACAUGUUGGCUUAGUGCGUUAUGUUAGAAAGAAUAAAUAAAAGGGUUAGUAAUUAAGUAAUGAAAAGGGAGGGGUGAUGAAAACAAAGUUGUCUCAUCCAUCCCCCCCAUUUGCCGUAACUAGACAAAAAAAAGGAGAAAGAAUGUGUUCAUCUUCUUCUCCAUCUUGCCAAAACCGAAACAAAAAGGAAAGAAAUAGGGAAGUUUUCAUUAAGGCAAUUCGGCAACCCUUUUUCUAGUGGGAGGUGAGUUUUGAAAUGUUGGUUUUAACUUCCUUUGUAUGUUGAGCUAAUUGUUGAAAUGCAUUUCGGCAAUGUCAUGAAAAAUCAAACUUUUAUGGUGGUUUGGGCAUUUAGCCGUAUAUCAAGAGGUUAGGAGUAGAGGUUGUUUCAUGUUGUAUUGAAUAAGUAGAGAUUAUUAUGAGGUUGAAAUUUGUGGAAUUUUAGUUAAGUAAUGCUUGGUACAUUCGGCCAUAUGGGUUAAUGGAAUGUUCAUUUUAUUUGUUAAUUUCUUUUAUGAGAAAUGGGUAAUUGUUAAAGCCGAAUGAGUUAUGGAAGUUUUUAUAAAUGUAUGAAGUUCAAGGUGCAAAAUUUUAGUCUUGAUGUUAUGGAUAAUUCAGUUGAGAUAUGGGGAGAGGGAGUUGUCAUUUAGGUUAAGAUCAAAGGGAUGAGCAAUAGGCAUUAAAAGGUGAAAUGUGUGAAACUUAAAGUGUAAAAAUCUAUAUGUAAUUACAUAGGAAAUGUUAAAAAAACUAACAUGGUAUAUUCGGCCAUGUAGAGUACAUCCUAGAGAUAUUAUAUUUAAUUCCCUACAAUCGACUAAAUGGGUGAUUAGUAAGAGUGAUUGCCGAAUAUACUAACAUACAUAUGCAUGUGUAAUUGGAUUGUAAAUAUUUAGCAAGGCGGUUAAACUAGUUGAUUUAUUGAUUAAGCUCAAGGAGUUAAAGGAGGAGAAUCAAGCAAAGGCAAAGAAAAGAUCAUCGAGUAGCCGAGUUGGAACCGUCUUACCCAACACAAAGUAAGUCAUUAAGCAUAUAGUUUGUAUUAAUUUAAAUGGUCAUAACGUCUAUGUAAUGAUGCUGAAUGGAAUGAUAAAUAUAUAUAUAUAUACAUGUAUGUAUGUGGUGAUGAAAGUGUUGAAUGAGAAGAAAAGAGGUGAGAUGUAUUGAGUUGUUGAUCUCGGCACUAAGUGUGCGGGUAUAAACUUUUAUGAUCAUGAGAUUGGCGCUAAGUGUGCGGGUUUAAAUUGUACAGCACUAAGUGUGCGAGUUUGAUUAUAUAGCACUAAGUGUGCGAGUUUGAUUAUAUAGCACUAAGUGUGCGAGUUUGAUUAUAUAGCACUAAGUGUGCGAGUUGAUUAUAUAGCACUGAGUGUGCGGACUUAAUAUAUAUUUUUGAAUCACUAUGGACACUAAGUGAGCGACAUUAUUGAGUUGAUCACGGACAGCGGAUCGGGUAAGUACAUUGAGUUCAUGGCCAAUAGGCGCUAUGUUUAUAAUUGGAGUUGAGCUUGGUAAGUUUGAACCUAUGUGACAAUUAUAAUUGAAGUCACGUACAUAAGAUUUAUCGUGGAAUAGGUGAAAGGUCGUUUAGAUGUAUGAUUGUAACGAAAAUAAAAUGAUGUAUGAAAAUGCCUCAAAUAUCCUAUUGAUUAGUAUAUGGAAUGUGAAUGCAUGACUUGGUAUGAGAUUGAACCGAUAGGUCUAAGGAACUAUGGUAUGGUUCGGUAUGGAUGGAGUAACUAGCCUCGUUCCAUUUUGUUUCCUCUUGUGAUAAUGUUGUUAAUGGAUGGUAGUGCAUUGCUUAUGACUUACUGAGUUAUAUACUCACUCGGUGUUUCCUUGUCACCUAUUUUAGGUUUCUUGGACUCGUCUCUUUUUGCGUGAUCGGGCCGUCAUUGGAGUCAUCACACCGGCUAGCAAGUUUUGGUACUUUCUUCUUAGUCGGCUUAGGAGAACAUUUCGGCAUGUAUAGGCUAUUAUGUUGUGUUGAACUUUGGUAUGUAAACUUUUAGCCAUGCGAAAAUGGCAUAAAUGUCGGUUGGGUUUGGUUUUAUAACGCUAGGUCGUAAGCCUUGGUAAUUCGACUUUUCUUUUUAUGCCAUAUGUCAUGGUUGAUUAUUUUGGUGUUAAAAUUCAUGAUAUGGCAAUAGUGUAGUAGGGGGAUGUUUGACAAUGAUUAGCCUUUGGCAUGGCUAGUCAUGAUCAUAAUUUGUGAUAUGUAUGAUGAAUUACUAGUUAGAUCAAGGAGAAAUCACGAAAUAGGCAUAGUUGCUUUCGUAACAGAUGCUGGCAGCAGCAGUGACGUGAGAUUGAAAAAUCACUAAAAAUAGUAGGUGUGGAAUUAAUUGAUGAAUAAAUUAUGUAAUCGAAUCUCGAUGAGUCUAUUUUCAUAUAGAAGUAACGAAACGAUCAUAUGGACAGUAUGUUAAGAGAUAUUCAGGUUCUCGUGAGACAGGGCCAGAACGGUUUCUGGAUUCCCUGUUCCGACUUUGGAAAUUCAUUAUAAAUUAACCAGAGAUAAUUAGGAGUCAUGCCAUAUAUGUACAGAUUCCUCUCUGAGUCUAGUUUCUAUAGAAACAAACGACAUCAGUAUUGAAGCUCUGUGCAGGGAGAUAUCCAAUUCGUAAUGCGUAAGGGUCAGUGUAGUCGAUCCCUGUAACAUGGGAGACUUUGACUAAUAAAUUGUACUAAUUGGCCUGACAAAAAAUUCUGAAAAAAUUCUACCAUAUAUGUAUAUGAGUCUAGUUCCAGGGAAAAUUUACGGAACUGUAUUUCGAGUUUCGGAACUCAAGAUAUGGUUUUUAAAGCGACUAGUACGCAGAUUGGCAGCUUGUCUGGGAAAUGUCAAAUAAGUGGUUUGAAGUCUGUUAACACCUCGUGUUCGACUCCGGCGACGGUCUCGGGUUCGGGGUGUUACACAAUCAAUCCCAUAAGAGUCAAUGAACUUGGAUACACUUUGAAAUGGAGUUUUGAAAGGGUGUUAAAAAAAGAAAUUGGAUUGAUAAAUGUAGACAGAAUAUCCAACUUUUUCUUAUAGAGGGUAAGGGAGAGGGUUAUAGAGUUUGAACCCAUGUCAAAUGACUAUUCAAUAAAAGUUUUCAUCAUCCCUCCAUAUAAGUUAAGAUACAAAGUAUCCAACAUUAGCACAAGCAUAGACAUUAUGCCAUUGCCAGAGACUUAAUCUUAGGAUAUAAGCUCCACAUAGACUCAAGAUAUAUGGAUUUAUUUAGGGUUAACAAUUUACUAUUUUUAUAUCUUGAUGACCAAUAUCUUGUGAUCCCUAAAAUAUGUGUAGAGAGUAAUUGUUGAACUUGACAUAAAUGAACCCAAGCUCAAGCGCGUGAGAUAGUUUUUGAGGAGCUUGUCCCACAACUAGUCCAACCUGACCCACCCAUUGAGAGUAACCAUCAAAGUUGGGAACUAUGAGCCUGAGCACAAAAACUUAUGCUACCAAGGAGCCUAUCAAACAAGCUACCCAUUUUGAAAAAAACAUUAAUCAUUAAGGGCUAAAAAAAAUAGUUUUCCUUUUUUUAAUUAAAAAAAUUAAAAGACUAAAUCCCAGGUAAGGGUUAUUUAGCAUUGCUUCUAAGAAGCACUUUUGAGAUAAAAGCAUUACUAAACAAGAUAUUUUUUAGCUUUUCAAAAGUGCUUUUGGGACAAAAAAAUCUUUGCAAAAACACUUUUUAGCCAAAAGCAAAAGCAGAAGUAGAAAAUUUUAACUUUUGAGAAGCAAUGCUAAAGUAAGCCUAAGUAUUUUUAUAGUUUAAAUAAUGGGGAACAAUGAUAUGAUGAGAACAGAAAGAAGCUAGAAAUUUUAUUUAGAGAGAUUUAAAAAAAGUUAUAAAAUUUAAGGGUUAAAAUUAAAAAUUUUAUAUUAAAAGUGUUUAAAUUAAAUUAUUAAUUUAAUUUCACAGGGUAUGCCUUUACAAUUGGGGGUUACGCAAUCAGUUGGAAAGCUUUUUUCAAACUACAGUUACUUUGUCUAUUACUGAAGCUGAGUACAUAGCGAUUACUGAGGCUUGUAAAGAAGUUAUUUGGUUAAAGGGACUAUUUGGUGAACUCAGUAAAGACCUUUAAAUCAGUAUAGUUUUUUUUUGUGACAGUCAAAGUGCCAUCUUCCUUACAAAUGAUCAAAUAUUUCAUGAGAGAACAAAACACAUUGAUGUUUGGUAUCAUUUUAUGCGUGGUAUUAUUGCUCGUGGUGAUAUUGUUGUGAGCAAAGUUAGUACUUAUGAUAAUCAUACAGAUAUAAUGACUAAGUCAUUUCCUAUAACCAAGUUUGAACAUUGCUUGAACUUGGUUGGUGUUCAUUGUUCAAGAAGUGAAGAACUUGUUCGUUGAGAAUUCGUGUCAAGUGGAAAUUAUUAGAGUUGUGUGACACAAAUUCCUAUUAAAGAAAUAAAAUACAGUGGCAAAAUAUGGGGAUUUGUGGGGGCGAAGGUUGCAGCCAACAUAGAUCCCCAUUAAGCAUAAAACUUAACUAGGGUUGCGAUCGGGGGUGUCCACCCCCCGCAGUACAAUAUAGGCUACACAAGCGGAAUCUGUAUAGAAGUGCACUUCUUCUAUUUGAUAUUGAUUGUACAAGUAGAAUCCGUAUAUAACUUCUCUCCUAUUUGACAUUGAUUAGAAUAGGUUUUUCAACCUAUAAAUAGAAGUAAUCGAAACUCCUCUUGUAUCAUAUGAAUUUUAACAUUAGUGAACUCUCUUCUCAUCUGCCCGUGAUUUUUUUUUGAAAGGGUUUCCAUGUAAAAUCUGUGUGUUUUUAUUUUUCUUUCUUAUUGCUUUACGAUCAUUCUAUAAUUGCCAUUAUCGACGUUCAUAUUUUACAUACUCUAUUUUCCAUAAUAAGCUUCCUCAAGAUUGCAAGUUAAAUGCAGCAUCCCAACCAAUGGCAAAACUAUAAAAAAGCCAAGGGAUCUUGUCCCCUAACAAUUUUGGUUUUCCUACUCUAAUAUAGGUAUUUAUAUAUGCUUAUAUAUAUUAAAUAAAUUAAAUUAGUCCAGAAACUUUGAAAUUCCUUCUUAUUAUACACAUUUUUAUUUGAAUAAAAUUAAAGUACCUCUAUAAUUUUAUAUUUUUAUCUAUAAUACAGUUGUUUUUUUU
rnacentral:lncRNA from 1 species